UCGUUUAGGUGGAGAGGGUGGAUAGGGUGCAGGGGGUGGAGCAGGUGAACGGGGUGGAUAGGGUGGAUAGGGAGCAGGGGGUGGAGCAGGAGAACGGGGAGGAGCGUGUUUACGUCCUUCAUCUUUCAGUAGUCUGGUGUCACUAUGAGUUUUUAAUAUUUUGGUUCCUGCAAAGUAGUACUUCUGGGAAGCUCCUUUGGUCCCGCUCCUUGAAAUUAAUAUAGCAGCUCUAAUGAUGUAGUCGGUGAAGAGCUGUAAAAGACGAGAAUUGUAUCCAAGUGUUAUGAAGAAGGCAAUGUAAAGAAUCAAUACAAUGAAGAGGGCAGUGAUUCCAACGAUUAAGGCAACAACCGCGAUCCAAGUGCGUUUGCUUAUGGUCAUAUAGACCCCCACCAUGUAGGUCACGGACAUUGUGACAAGAGCUAUGAGCAGCGGUAGCCUUGCAUAUCUAAGGGUAUGAGGCGUCGCAUGUGAAUCAUCGAUUUGCAUCCAAAGAAGGAUCACAGCUGCAAUUAUCGAGUUGUACAAGGCAAUGGAGUUGCAAAUCACAAAGACGUCAUAGAUCGGUUUGUUCAAUAAUGUAGCGAUUCCUGCAUUUGGUUCAGAGCUAUUAUAUCCUCCGGGAACAGAAAAGCCAGCUGUGAAUGUCACACUAACAAUGAGCGUUGCCGCAACGAUACGGACUUCGGCACGCCUCUUCAGUGUAUCUAUGUCUGGAGGCUCUCUCUGCUGGCCUAAGCUUAUUGUCUGUGAAAUGGCUUUGUCUUUGCUUGUAGGUGCUUUGGCAGAUAUUAAGAUUGUCCGUGUUAACCUCUGGUUUGGAGUAACAGAAAAAAGAAAAAAAAAAAGACUGUCAUUUUCCAUAAAGAUGUACUCACAAUCAAAGGUUUAGUAUUAAAAAACACAAAACCUUAUCAAACGAUACACAGACUUGCAAUUGUAAUCUUUCUAAGCUUUCGCUAGAAACUUAAUUCCACAUGGUAACUUUAGGGGGAGUUCAACGGGUCAAAAUAAACUUUAUUUUUCAUCUCUUCGAAAAGGAAGUAACCAAAACAAUAGUGAAAGGAAAAAGUAGAUAACUUGUUAAUUUAUUUGUCGAUAUCAUUACCAGGUGAAGUGGAGCAUCGAUUUCUCUCAUUUCCUCAUCUACAAUGUCGAGAGCCGUGAAGUUGUUGUGGUUUACAAGCCCAAGAUUGACUCUUUUGUCCCGGGUGAGAGAGAGCAAAACCUCGAGUUGCCAUCGUAUUGUGGCUACAUGGAGAGGUGUAUUUCCGUACUUGUCUUUUGCAUUUAUAAGCUUCUCAAGCUUGGGAUCACCAAGUAUGUACUUCACUACGGAGGCCAUUCCGUUUUUUGCUGCAAUAUGAAGUAUAUUUUGCUCUUUGUUUAAAGUAAGCAACUCUUCUGGGUCUAACCAAUCUUGCCAAUGUUGAUGCAGCACCUUAAUUGUUUCGAGAUGACCCUUCUUACAUGCAACGUGAAUUGGAAAAUAGCCCUUUAUAUUGUGUUUGAAGGCGCUCGAAGUGAACUCAUUGACCAAGAAUUUGACUCCAUCAACAUAAUUCUCCUGUGCUGCUAGAUGGAGGGGCGUAUCCUCUCUAGCAUCUUUUAAAUCAAAUAGCUCUUUCUUCUUCUUUGACAUCUCUUUCAGCAUAUCUACGUCGUUAGAAAGUAGGAAAUGAAGUCAUGCUCAUGACAAAGGUUUUGGUAAUUUUGCCCUCUAUCCAUUAUAUUUUUCUUAAUAUUACGUGGAAUACAUAAUUGAAUUCUAAACUUUUGGGGGAUAAUUUCAGUAUAGACAUUAGAGAUUGCUUCAAAGCAUGGAGACAUUCAUUUCCCAGUAAAAAAUUUACCUUAUGCGAGUAAUCAAGGGCAACCGUGACAUGGGCCUCUUCCUGUUUUACAAAAGGUCCUUGGACAAUACUAUAAGUAGUGUAGUAUCUACAAUGGCUUACACUAUGACUAUCACUGAUGAAGUAAAGUGAUGACAAUCUUCAAGGUAAGUCUUGCCGGGUCCAAGCCCAAAAUUUAUGGGAACUCUUCUAUAAUUGAUGCAGGGUCUAGGAAAAGGUCAAACCAUUCUAGAAGAAGAGUAAAAAAUGUAAGGUUAGCUGUUUUAUGAAAAAGAUUUAUAGGUUCGACGAUCUCAUAUGGAUGCAAACUAGACACACAUAAAUGGACUGGCUAAUAAAUUUACCGAAGUGUGAACCGUAAGUACAAUCACUGACCUAUCCUUCGAUGCACCACAGCUCCGUGAACCGGAGACAUGCCUUCAAUCCAGGAGGAAAGGACUUCAUUCCCAUCCACCGCUUGCAGUAAAAGCGAGAGAAUCUCCAAGUUGUGUGUCUCAAUCGCCAAGUACAGGGGGCACUUUCCCUCGUUGUUCUUCUUAUUCACCGAUUCUGAGCCUUGAUGCAGGAGCCGAUUGGUCAACUCAUAGUCACCGUUUUUCACAGCUUCAUGCAAAGGCCUGUUCCCCGCAUUGUUCCAUUGGUCCACAAUUCUGUCGAAUUUGAGGAGGCGCUUGGCCAUGUGGUUCCUGCGGGCUCUUGCUGCGACGUGGAGGGCUGUGUCCCCUCUGUUGUUUGCCUGGGCGACGAGCUGCUCGUCAUCAACGACCUCGAGGAGUGCUUGGAAGAUGUCGGCAUUCUCGAUACUCGCUGUGACGUGGAACAACGAGUUCCCACAUGGGCUCUUUGUGCUAAUGAUGUCGUAUAAAGAGGCCGCCUCUUCAGCGGAAUACUUUUCGAGGGCUUUGAUGAACUCGUCCAAGUCGCCUCCUUUUGCGGCGGUGUAUACAGGUGCAAGACUUACGAAUUCUACUUGGCGUUGUCGUCUUUCUACCGACUCUAGUGCUCUCAAUUUGUUUAUUUUCUGCUCCCAUUCAGGAUCGCCCAUAUCUAUGCUUGCGGUAUCGCCAUUCAUCUGUAGACUUUGAAAUUUGAAUAUGGUCUCCUCCAGAAUUAAGACUUUUGCGGGGUCUUCUCCAAUAUUAAUUGCACAACCACAACUUGGAGAUUUUUUCUUCUCUAACUGUCGGUGCACACCGCGAGUAAUUCUUCAAAAAAUACAUCCACCACACAAUUAGGAAGAUUUCAAAAUUAAAAUAUUAUGUAUUGAGUAUAAAAUUGAAAGAUUUUAUUGCAUGUUCUUCAUAUAUGUGACGACAUGCACAUACUCUUGUUAUUGAAUUCUUUUAUCACAAAACGGUGGUGCAUUCCAAUUUCGAAAUUAAGAAAAAGGGUCAAAUACAAUAGAUCGAUUUUAAUUCACAAAGUGCUUUUGAAAUUUAGAUUAGCAAGUAUUCUCUUUUAUUUGGAAGAUAAAUCCAAAAGUCUUAAGAAAAAUAAUGGGGAUUUAAUGACAAUAAUUAGGUUAGAUGUUCAAUCAUGGAACGUUAGUUGUUUAGUGUUCAAACAUGAAUGAAUUGUUCAUGCAAGACAUUACCUUUGUGUCUGCACUUUGGCAAUAAAAAAAUAAAAAAAUUAGCAUGGAUGUACAAAAGUGCAGAUAGACAAAGGAUUCUCCUCACAAUCUCUGCUAAUCUAGGGCAUGAUAUGGGGAUGUAACUUGAAAGCAAAGACAAAGCAUGGACCUUAAUAUCCGAUCAACAGAAGGUAUCUUUUUUAUUUGUUCUUUUUUUGCCUCUGUUAUGUAUUUAUUCUUAUAUCUUGUUCUUGUAAAUGCUUUUUGAUAUGUUUAGAAACACUUUUAAAUUAGAUAUAUGUUUUACAGGGAUUAGUUCCAGUUAUUUUAGAACUCUCGCCCUUGGCAGAACAUUGAAUGUGCGCUAGACAUAUUUACUCGAAUUGGAGGAAGUACCACAAAGGCAAGGCUUGACAAAAGCGCUUUUGGUGGUGAUCUAAAGCAACACUACAUCCUUGCUUAAGGACAUAAGAGUCCGGGGGCUGAGAAGAAUUCGAGAAAAGAAGUAAGUUGCCGUGAGAUGCCCACGAGUCACUGAUUGAAAUUAGAGGAAAACAAGGCUUCAUAGCGCUUAUCGCCAUGUGAAGUGAAGCACAAAAAAAGAAAGUUCGUGGUCAGCAUGGAAAAGCAAACUCGAUCUUGUGGAUCAUGGGACAUACCUGGUAUGAGGAGCCUGACAAACUAUUCAUGUAAUCGGCACAAGAAGGAGAUCAUAGACAAACAUAUUUGUUCACCAUAGAGCCUAUAUAUAUAUAUGUAGAAGGAUGGAAGAGAGGGAGAGGUCUUCAAAGUGAAAACAUGAGUAGAAAGAAACUGUUCUUUCUAUGAAGAAGAGAUGGUUAUUUAUAGGGUGAUGAACAAUAAAAAGUGCUACAAUAAUGAGCAGUAUAAAUGAAUAGUGAUUUUGCUACAGUGAUUCUAUAAUAAUUUGUCGGCCACCUUUUGCUACAAUAUUCAACGGUGCUGCUGUAGUAUUUUGUCAUGUGAUCUUGCAGGUAAUCAUUUGUCAAUGAUUAUAUAUAUAAUAAUUAGGAAAGUGCAAAUAAAUUUUUAAAUCUAUCACAUUGAUAUCAAUUUAGUAUUAAAUAUUUUAAUUGGAUCAAUUUAGUUCUAAACAUUUUGUAUUUGUGCAUAUUGAGUCAAUUCGAUCAAUUUUGGUCGGAAAUCCCUAACAUGAACGACGAUCGUCCUGCUUGGCACGACUAGCGUUGACAUCGACAAAAUUUAUAAAUUUACAAAAAAAAUUCUUUUCUUUAUUCUUUUUUUUCCUUUUUUUUUUCAUAGUGGCAGGUGAGGGCUAGCAAGCCCUCGGGCAGCCCUCGUGACCUCUAGCAAGUAGCGAUAGCUCAACCCUCACAAUUAGGUGAGGUUCUGCCCUUGCCUGUAGUUGGUGAUGGCUUGGGCGAGGUAAUUAAAAAAAUUCAGAAAAAAAAAUAAAAAUAAAAUCAUAAAAUUUAUUUACGUUAGCGCCGAUUGUGCCAUGUUGGACGGUCGGCUUCCAUAUUAAUGAUUUUCGGCCAAAAUUAAUUGGAUAACCUCAAUUGUCACAAAUGUAAAAUGUUUAUGACUAAAUCGAUAUCAAAUCAAUAAAAUUAGGAUUUUUUUGAUAAUUUCCUCUUUUAGAUAACAUUAUUAUCCCAUCAUACUCAUUAAAGAGAAUAGUAUAUGAAGCCAAUAAUCAAUAUUUUGGGGAAAAGUGUUAAAAAAGUCCUAAACUUUUUUCAUUUGUUCUAAUUUAGUUAUAAACCUUUUUUUGGUGCUAAUUUAGUCAUAAAAUUUUUUUCACUUGAACCGGCUUGCAGCCGACAACCGCGUCGUAAACUCCUAGGUGACACUUAAGUAGGAGAACCUACCACUCCUGAGUCACACUUAAUACACAAAAAAAAAAAAAAAAAAACAUUUUCACUUGGUGCAAAUUCGAUUUUUUCUGGCUAAUUUUUGCCAAAUUUUGCUGGCGGGGCACUAGCCAGCUGACGUGGCACGAUCGGUACUAACGUGUACAACUUUUAAUAAUAUUUUAAUAUUUUUAUUUUUUGAUUUUCUUUUUCUUUUUCUUUUUUCUUUCUCCUCCUUAUUCCUCCAGCCGAUCACUGAGGUCUAGUGACUGGCCAGAGGCAACAACCGGUGAGGUUGGGGUCGACCUCUGGGAAGCCUCGCUAGUGGCCACAAGGGUGGCCUUUUGUAGGGCGGUGACGCUCACCCUUGUCGGCUAUGGGCGACGCUUGACCUUGCUAGAGGUUGGGCGAGGCUCAACCCUUGCGGUCAACGCCUCACCAACAUGGUGAGAGGUCACCCUCGCGGCCAAGGCCUCGCUAGAGGUUGGGCGAGGCUUGACCCUUGCGGUCAAUGCCUCGCCAGCUUGGCGCGAGGCCGCCCUCGCGUCCAAGGCCUCACCAAAGGUUGGGCAAGGUUGAACCUCAUCGGAUUUGGUGAGGUUGAGCCUCUCUCAUGGCUAGCGAGGGCAAGCCUUGCUGCCUUGUGCGAAGCCGCCCAUGCGGUGACUCGCGAGGCUUCUUAGAGGCUAGGGAGGUUGAGCUUGACCUUGCUGGCUAUCGCCUCUGGCUAGUCGCCAAGGUUUGGGGACCAGUUGGAGAAAGGAGAAGUAGAAGGAAAAAGAAAAAGAAAAUAAAAAAAUAAAAAAAUUAUUAAAAAAUUAUUAAAAGUUGUACAUGUCCGCGUCGAUUGUGCCACGUUAGCCGGUUGGUGCCUAGUUAGCAAAAUUUGGUCAAAAUUAGCCAGAAAGAACCGAAUUGGCACCAAGUAAAAAUAUUUAGAACUAAAUUGACAAAAAAAAGGUUUAUGAUUAAAUUGGCACAAAUGCAAAAAGUUUAUGACUUUUUAAAUAUUUUCCCCAAUAUUUUGAGGAAUGGCACUAGAUUCAGAUUUUUUGCCUUAUGUUUGUAUAAACAGAUAGUGUUUAGUACCUACCAGUGGGUAGUUGCGUUAGUUGAGAGUCUCUCUCUCAUCAUCGAGGUCGAGAGUUCGAAAUCCGCGGUUGCUACUGUUGUAAGUGAGGGGCCAUGCUGGUGGGGUCAUGUGCUAGUCUCCCUCAAAGUAUUGACGUCGGCCUGAAUGUGCCACCAGACGCUACUAGGGCCCCAUAAAGGGGUUCCGUGGAUCCUCGGUUAUCAAAAAAAAAAAAAAAGAUAAUUUUUAGGAAUUCAAUAGAACUUUUUUCAGCCAAAAGGAUUUAAGCAUUCUAAUUCCACAAAAUUUGGAAAAGCUAUUUCCUUACCUAUAUAGUACCAAAAAUUGCGUAAUUAAUCCUUUAGAAUGCUAUGAUACUGAGAAGUGCUUUUAUUUCAAAUAUAAUGGGUUUAUCUUUAAAAUUUAAUUUUUAAUGCACUUCUUUCUGAUAUAAUGAGAUCGAGUAAGGAUUCCAUCUUACCAGAGUUUAUAGGAUGAGUAGCAAGGUUUUCGUGCGAGGGCAGUCUCCUCUCUUCAACGAAAAAGCAGUGCUAGGAGCACUUUCUUGCCGUGGGAAAAUAGCUUUUCCCCUAGUAUUAAGUAAAGAUUCGUCUUUUUCUUAGGGUACGCAAAAGAAAAUCUGACAAAGUUUUGAUUAGAAGAGCUCACUGACUGAAUUUGGCAAUUCUUUCUUCAUUGUUGUGAUUUGUGUAAACGAGCCGGUUGGCAAAGCGGGAAAAUUGGGAGUUCAUUGACCGGGAACAGUAACCACUUACUUAUAGUCGUUGCCUACUUGCGGUGAAAGUUGGGUGGACACGACAUCUAAGGCGAUGCCUGCACAGGAAGGUGGAAAAGACGAUGGGUCGUCCUCGUGCCGAAAAUUCAAUGACACGGGUCCAUGGAGACCCACCGCGCGCCAUCGUGCUGUCGGUAAUGUUUUAGUCAAAAGUAGCCCUCCACGAAAAAAAAAAUGACAAGGCAUUUCGGUGAAUUUAUUUAGUCACUUUCUAAAUGUUAACUUAUACUAUGGUCAUAUCACUAAAAAAAAUUAUUCAAAAAGUCAUAAACUUAUUAUAUAACGGUCAAUUCAAUUCAAAUUUUUUAGUUAUUUCAAUUUAGUUCUAAACAUUUUGAUAUUUUUUCAAUUUAAUUCUAAAUCUUUUAAUGAUUUGUCAAUUUAGUCAUACUGGUUAAUUUUAGUCGAAAACGCCGAUACAACGAUCUAGUCAACGUCGAUUGUUCUAUGUGGUAUGACAAGCACUAACAUGAAUAAUAUUUUACAUUUUUAAAACCUCAUGGAACUUAGGAAUGAAUUUGCAAUUAGUUAGAACACAAUGUUAUACUAUUAACUUUGAGGAUGUUAAAGCAACGAAAUCCCAUAUCGAAUAACCAAUGUGAGCCAAUGAAUGUAUCUAGUAGCUUUAUAACUUACUAGUUCAAAAUUUGAAUGGACGUGAAUUUUUACUGCAUAACAUGCCAAAACAGUUCAAAAUUAGGGGCGGUGACCCUAAACCCAGACAUUUGAACUCCGUCCUUGUCCGCUUUUGUGCAAAAACGAAAGCGAAAAUUCCAAAUUCCUUCCUCUUAAAAUACUAGUUUACCUUGCUAACUCUGUCUAUGAAACAAGAAAACGCGGUUUGGCACGAGGUGACCAAAAAAAGGUUCACAUGCACCAACUUAUCGCCCUAAACCCAGCCGCAUUAUCUAAUUCUAGAAAUAGCAAACAUUUCAAAAGAUUAAAAACCAUCAACUAAACUUUGUGUGAUACCGACGAUAGCAUAGCAAGGAGUUCAUGAAUACAGCCCGCAUAUUAUCUCAAACACAUAAGCAGCAAAUCACACACUAAAAAAGAAGAAAAAAGGAAAAGAAAUGACUUGAACUUUCCGAACCAAGUAUUUCUUCCGGUUAAAAGAUUCACAAUCUAUCACUAUUAUCUCUGAACCAUUCCGCUGAAAAAGUUAUCCAUUUUACCGAGAAUUUUAGCAGUGUAGCUCCCAUUUGAAAACCUAGAUAUACUACAUAUUGGCCGGACAUAAAAAUAGAGAUAAUUGAAAAAAAAAUGACAUAUAAAAACAAAGCACGCACAAGGUGUCUGUUGACGCCUAAAUUUUUGCAUAAAAAAUGGGUUAAUUUUUACCAAAAAUAAAAUAAAAUUAAAAUUGCAUAACAUAUAAUUUAGAAACAUUGAUUUUAUUUUAUGUUAUUUUAUUCCAUUUUUGCAUUGGACCGAUGGUGAACGUUGAUACAACAUGAAAUUUUUCACAUAUUUAAGUAAUAUACACUAAGGACAUUUUUGGGCAAAAAGGUUUCGGAUGGAAUAUUUGAAAAAUUCAAAAGGGAAUAUUACGCGAGGUGCGUAUAUUUCAAUGAUAUAUUCAAGGGAUUAUGCACAAGCAAAAUUGGAAAAAAAAAUACCGCAAACAUCAAAUUCCGCCCCUAUAAAAAGGGUUGUGUGUGUACAGCAAAAGGGGCUCUUCCUUGGGUUUUGUUUAUUGGAGUUCGAAAUUCAAAAAGAGAGAUUUUGGUUUCGUGAAAAAGGAAAAAAGUCAAAAAGGUGCUAAAGAAGAGAAAAGUGUGUAGAGUGAGAUUGUGGGAUUUUCACCCACCUCAUUUCACGCCAGGCGAGGGACAGGGAUUGGUUACCCCAUGAAAAGUCGUAGCCUAUGUUUCCACAGAUGCAGAGUCUACAUUCUUUGCCAACAAGCCCCCAAAUUCCCGGUCUAUGUUUUACCAACCGACCGAGAGGAUGGGGAGGCAAGUACGAGGUCACCCACCCCAAGAUGGUUCUUCCGCCUUUACCUUCAUGAGCAGUUUAAGGACCUACUUAGGUCCAGUCUUACGGGAUAUUAUCCCAACCACUACAUUUUUCUAGGCGUGGGAGCUGCCUAUACCCCCGUUAGUCUUACCUCACGAGGGCACCCCAAAGAGGGGCCGAGGGGUUGCUUAGGGCAACUAAUCCGUACCCAGGGGGUCCCUUACCCUUGUCCCUGGGGGACAGUUUAACCUCUUACCUAGGAGGUUGAAGUCUUACGGGAUAUUGUCCUAGCCACUAUAUUUUUCUAGGCGUGGGAGCUGCCUAUACCCUCAUUAGUUUUACUUUGUGGGGGCUCGUUUCACGCUAGGCGAGGGAUAUGGAUUGGUUAUCUCAUGCCAGCCCAAUUGUAGCCUGUGUUUCCACAGACGCAGAGUCUUCCUUCUCUGCCAACGAGCCCCCAAAUUUCCGGUCUAUGUUUUACCAACCGAUUUAGAGGAUGGGGAGGCAAGUACAGGGUCACCCACCCCAGGAAGGUUCUCCUGCCUUUACCUCCAUGAGCAAUUUAAGGACCUGCUCAGGUCCUAAAGGGGGGGCUCUUCCUUGGGUUUUGUUUUUCAAAAGGAGAAAAUUUGGUUUCGUGGAAAAGGAAAAAAGUAAAAAAGGUGCUGAAGAAGAGAAAAGUGUGUAGAGUGAGAGACGUGCGAAUACACAGGUGAGGUGAGAGAGAGAGAAGAGAAAAAAAAAAAAAAAAGACGAUCACUGUGUGUCUUCUUCCCCCGGCACCCGAUGCCUGCGUCUUCAAUUUGCGCUGACCUCGCGCCCGCGCCGGCCACCGUGCCAGCACCGCCUUCGCCACCGCCGCCUCGCCAGACUUGCCCACGACGUGCAGCACCGCCGCCAAUGCUCGCUGCUACUCCCUUGCCUCUCCACUGGUGCCUCAGCUCUCGCCGAUGCCUACAGCAUCCUGCUGCCUUCCACCUAAGCACUAAUGUCGCCGUACUAGCAGCUAGUCGUUGUGCCUCCCUUUGCCUGACGCCUGCGACCCAACGACCGACGUCCUCAACUCUGCCUCACCCUCGAGCUCGCGCCAGCCAUUGCACUAGCACCAUCGCUCGUCGCCCCUACUGUAGCCAUGACGACCCGACACCUCUGCCCGCUCAUUCGUUGCUGCGUCCGCCGUCACCACCUGCCAUCGCUUGUCCUCCGCGACGCCGCCCUUACUCUGUCCGCGAUUUGCCUAGCCCAGCGCCGCGUCUCCACGAUCACUUACGCCUCUACCGACUUACCUCUGCCGAUCACCCUUCGCCGGUCUCCGCCACUCUUGCAGCCAGCACAGCCCCGUCGCCCGUAGCAGCCCGAGCACCGCACUCCACGAAGGAGCGAUGCCCUUGCUGCCGGCCACCUUCGUUCCGAGACUCCUUGCCGCGCGCCUGUUGUGCCCUUUCCAGAGCUCCGAACCUGCUGCCAAGCCUUGUUUAAAAAAAGAAAAAGAAAAAUCAAAUUAGGUAGAUUUACUUUAUUUUAUUAGGCAUAUUUAUUUUAUCUUAUUUUAUUUUUUAUAUCUUGUUUUCUUUAUUUGAAAUAUUUCUCUAUGCAUAAUUGAAAAUUCGCAACCACAUAAUUCGCAACCGCACAUGGAUUUUUUACUCCAUCUAUAAGGUUUUAGAUGAAAUAAUUAAUCAAAUGGGAAUAAAAUUGAUAUUUUGAUAUUUAAAGCUUAAAAUCAAUUUAUCGAUUUUAUUAGCGAGAAAAUUAAGUUUGAUUUAGAUAUUAUUCCUUUAUUUGAAUGAUAUAUGGUAUCUUUGAUAAUUUUGAAUGACUUUGUGUUUGUCUCGUCUUGAUUGCUUUAUUUAUCCUGGAAUAUGUUUUAGUUAGAUUAGGUUCAUAUUAGAAUAUCGGUAAUUCGCAUAUUUAGACUAAGCAUUUUAUUUAUUCUGAAUUUUUGAAAUAGAAAAUACCAAAAACAAUAAUUUAGGAUGUUAGAUUUUGGUUUCAUUAAUUUAAUUUGCAUGUUUAAUUGUUUGACAAUUUUAAUUUCGAAUUUUAUAAUAAAAAAAAAGACCUAGAAUUAGGGCAUUUUUUGCACGUCAUUGCAUGUUAAAAUAAAAUUGCACGUAGUUUAAUUCUAGAUAAUAUUUUCUAAUUUAUUAUAAGUUUAGAUAUUUUUUUAGGUAGAUUGAAAUUAUGAUAACAUUAUAGUUUAAAUUAGGGUUUGGCCUAACCUAAUUCCUAAUAUAAAUUGGAUGAUAUCGAUAGACUUUUUUUUGCAAUUUUCUAAUUUCGAAUGAAAUGGACCAAGACAACGAACCAGGGAGGACGAAGUCAGUUUCCUACAGGAAUGCCUUUCCACAGUGGGCGAACUCCCCAUUCAAGCCCUUAAGGGACAGCCUUUUAAUAGAAAAUUACUCUGACUUUUAGUUAAGAAUCUAGAGACACCUAGAUAGAACCAGAAUGGUGACAAUUCUAACUACACAAGUUGCAUUUCUUAGAGGAUCUUACCAGGCUGGAGAAGAAAGAGCAGUUUAGAAAGCCAUAGAGAGAAUUUCACAAAUCUUACAAAGCACACACUUUACUUAAGGGACUCUGCCCAACACAUUACAUCCUCCUCGCCUUUUAUAGGCAAUAAGAGGUUACAAAUAGACAAGGACUAAGCUCAUGGGUCCUGAAACGAACAAAGGCUUCCAAAAAUCUUGGUAGGAAAUUAUUCGCACGGUAUGAACACUGACAGUGAACAGUGACUUCCCUAGCCUACUGCUACAGUAAAAGUGAACGGUAACUUGCUACAGUGAAAUUGUAUGGAACAUUGAUCUUCUUCAACGGUCUCGUCCAUCACGAGCAUUGUAGUCAUAGUCCGAGUCAUCUAAACUAUGCACUUUUGCUAGGCAAUGUUCAUCAUAUUUUUGUUCAAGUGCCUCAAGGUCUUCUAGUGAGAGAAUCUGGUUCAGCUGGUAUGAAGUGGUUGCAUAUGCUUCUUCUUAUGCCCAAUCUGUGUUGUCGUCAUCUGUAUUAUCAGCAGGAAUGCUUGGCUAAGGCCAAUUAGAUGGCUGUGCAUAAAAUGAGGUAUCCAUGUUUCGGGAUAAGGACAAAAGUCCUUGAUCAUAGGGGUCUUGGGAAAGAGGACCUCCCCAUUUAGCAUAGGGGUUUUGAGAGGACUGUACAAUGUCAUUUGUGUCUGCCAUUUCAUGCUCCUGUGAUGAUGCAGCUUGUCUGAAUUCCUUGAGUGCUUCCUUGGCUUUUGAUGCUAGGUCAUAAUGAUCCCAUGCAGUGGGUAUGUUAUAAUUCCAUGCAUCUUCAGAAAUAAUUUUAUUUUCUUGGCACAAUAUUCUCUAGAGUUCUCGAUAUUGAUGUUCACAGCAACCAACAGGUCCUGGAUAGGACUUGUGAACUCGAGCCUCUGUACUGAGUGGAACAGAUUUAUAGGAUGACGUACCUAUACUCAAGGGAGCAUUGACGAUGUUGCCAUUAUUUGUAAGAAAAGCCCAUGGUCAUAAAAAAAAAAAAAACAAAAUAGUAUGGACCUUAGGGUUUGGUUGUGUGGUUCUCAGUUCUUUCUCCAGGAGCCAUUUACAGUGAGUUGGAGGAUAAAACCAAUUAAGAAAAUCUAAAAGAUUUGUCACUUUCAUUCUCAAUUUUUCCUCUACCGAGUCCAAAUAUCCUGGUGAGGUUGGUAAUGAAUCUUCUGGUUGGGAUUUCAAUAGUUAUUAAGUACUCAUUGGUUAAGUACCAUAAUAACCAUCGAAGUUGAUCAAGGAAAUCAUCUUCCUUCCAGAUUAGUGGAUGUAUGAACGGAUAAUAUGCAUUUAAACCAAAAGGAUAAAGAAUCGAACCUCCAUUGAAUCUGAAUAGAAUUGUGUGGCAUUGCCACAUGAGCUUAUCCAACUUUUCAGUAAGACUGUCAUUCUGGAUGUGUUCAAUGAUUUUCUGGGGGUAUUGCCAGCUUGGCCAGUCUUUUAUCUUCUCAAGCUUAUACUUCUCAUUGUGAUGAAAAGUAUGAAAAGCAUGCCUCAUGAUAUACAUGUUGAUUUCUGCUGGUGCUUUUGGUCUUGACAAGAAGUCAGCAAGCACAUUCUUCUUUCUAGCAAUAUGUUUGGUCUCAAAAGAGUAUUUUGAAAACCAUUUAGCCCAUCGAAGUAGUUGAGAAUUUGGAACCUACUUCUGUUUGAAUUUGGUCAUCUGAGGGAAAGAUGCCAUAUCCAAUUCUACUAGGAAGUGAUGGCCAAUGAGAUGGAAUUUGAACUUUUUUAUCCCAUUUUUUACCGCCAAGAUUUCUUUGAAAGUGGAAUGAUAAUGCAUUUCAACUUGGGAAAAUUUUCCACUUUUAUAGGCACACAAAUGCCUCUUACCAUCAAUUUCUUCAAAUAGAAUGGCGACCCAGUAUUCAUCACUAGCGUCAGUCUGAAGAAUUCUCUUUCCUAUUGAUGGGAUUUGCAAAGGAGGAAGAGUCUGCAUAAUCUCCUUAAGUUUAGCGAUUGCUUUAGUCUAAGGUUCUCCCCAGAGUGGACGAUUUUUCUUCAGUAUUGUUUGCAAUGGGAUUAGCAGCUUUGCAAGAUCUAGGAUGAAAUCUCUAAGAUAAUUGAUUAUCCCAAGAAAUUGCUGAACUUGUUUUGUUGUGAAAUUCGUUUAAGGGAAUUUCAACAAUUCCUGAGCAAUGUGUGGCCCUCAAUAGUAUCCCUUUAUUAAGGUGCAUAACAAGAAAUUCAAUUUCUGUCUGGGCAAUGUUCAUCUUUCUUUGAGAAAGCAUGAUGCCAUGCUUUUUCACAAUUUCUGCAAACUGCUCAAGAAGUUGGCAAUGUGACUGCUCAUUAGGACUGUAGAGCAGGAUAUCAUCGAUGUAUAUUGCUGCACUUGACAGGAUUGGCUAGAAAAUUUGGCACAUGGCCUUUUGGAAUAGAGAUGGUGCAACUUUUAGGCCAAAAGGUAGAACUUUCCAUUGGAAAUGUUGGUUCAGGAUACAGAACCCUGUCUUGGGUCUAUUUUCAAGAUGAAUGCUCAAUUGCCAAAAUCCAGCUUUGAGAUCGAAUUUGGAAUAGAUUUGGGCUUUGGAUAAUGGAGUUUCUAGAGGGUAAAGGAAAUUUAUCAUAUUUGAGGAAAAUAUUAAGCGGUUAGUAAUUAAUUACUAGCCUCAUUUUUCCUCUCUUUUGCUCGGUACGUUUGUUGACAUAGAAAGCUUCACAAGCCCAUUGAGAAUUUGAAGUUUCAAUAAGGCCUUGCUGUAACAGCUGCGAGCAUUCCCUUUGGCGAAAGUGAAAAAUGAAGCUAAUCUUGUUCUGACACAUAUUGCCAUCAUAGUUUAAGGCUACCUAUGAACCUUGUGACAAAGUUGAAAAUGACAUCAUACUUGUCCUAGUUGGUAAUGGCUUGGGUAUUUAGCCAAGUAUGAAACUCUUCAAGUCUUUCUGACCAUUUGUGAUAAGGAAUGUCAUCAAUAGUGAAAAACUGUUUUGUCGCGAUCUAAAUUUGGGUGCAUCACCUAAAACUAGGUUAAUGGACUGCUAAGUCUUUAAACUUAGCUCGGGCUCUCCCCAAGCCCAUACCAAUUUGUGACUUAAGGUUCAAAUAUUUAACAUGCAAAAGAUUAUUAAUUAUGAGUCGCCAUUAAUCGAUUUAUGGUAGGUCGAUUAGACACCUAAGUAAAAUAAUGGGAGGAUUAUUUUGCUCCUACGAACUAGAGACUAAAGGUACGGUGUGGCAUCCCAAAAUUCAAAGUCAAGUUAUAAGGUGCGUUAAAGUCUCUAAUUGGGUAAUGAAAUUACCUAUGCUUUAUGCUUUAGCCAUUAGUCUCUUUUCAAGAUUAGGUGAUUUGUGCUUGUGUUUAUGAAAUUUUAAAUUUUGAUAGAUUAAUAAUAAUAAUCUAUGCUUGGCCAUGCACUUUAUAAAUUAAAUUUCAAUAAACAAAAUGUCACAAGACUUUGGCCAUGUUGAAAAUUAAAACUUAAAAAUAUUUAUAGGAGAAAUUCAAAAAAAAAAAAGGGGAAAAAAAGUCAAUUUUUAGGUUGGGCCUUAGGCCCAUUGGCCUAAGCUUUAGUGGGCCAAGCUAACCGGCCCAUGGAGGCCCAAGAAGGAGUGGUCGACCAGCCACAAAGGAGGCCCAAGCCCAUUAUGCGUGCAAUAGGACAAGUGGCACAAAGGAGGAUGCCAUGCAUUGGCUAAUUUGAAGGCAAGCAAUGAUUAUCAAUGAUGAGGAUUAGGGGAGAUAAAAUGGAAGAGAGAGAGAGGAGUGGCCGGUUCAUUCGGCCGAGAGAGAGAGAGGGAGAUCGUGCGAGAGAGAGGGAGAGCGGCCGAGAGGGAGGAGGAGCCGAGGAGGAGGAGUCACCGUCCGCCGUGCUCGCCGCCAUGUGCCGUCGUCCGUCCGGUCUAGAGGCAAGUGGGAGUCCUCUAGCUGCUCUUGCAUCUGUGUAUGUUACUUGCAUUGUUGAAUUUUUGGGUGUUUAGGUGAGAAAAGCCGAAGUAUGGGUGGUUUAUUCUUGAAUGGUAUGGCUGUUUUUGCUCGAACCGUGUGAGUCAGAAUUUUGUGUGAGCUUGCAUGCAUGUUUAGAGUCCGAUUUUGGCUUCGAUUUCUUCAUGAAAGUUGUAGCUAACAUCUUGAACUACAACAUACUGAAAUUUCGUGGAAAAUUAUGGAUAUUUGAGGGAUUAAAAUCUCGUCCUACGGAGACCUCAGAUCUGGAAAGACUUUACUGAUCUCUUGUUGGAUGUGUGGUUGCAUGUUGGUUUGUGUUAAGAAUAUCUCUUCGAUUUCUUCAUGAAAGUUGUAGGGGACAUCUUAAAAUAUAACAUACUCAAAUUUUAAGUGAAAUGAACAAGUAUAGCCUAGUAAAUCGACUAGAUCUUGAAGACGGUCAUUCUGGAGAUAUAUUUUGGGACACCCGAGACUUCAUGGACCUAAAUGACGACUAUACUCUGGUUAUUUGACUUAGAUCUCUUCAUGAAACUUGUAGAGGACAUCUUGAUUUAUAACAUAUGCAAAUCUCAGAGGAAACGAAAGAGAAUAAGUAGGUGAAAACUCAGUAUUUCGGAGAAGCAUGUACUGGACGAUGCGGUAAUGGAUCCAGAAGCUUCGUGAGACUGUAGAAAAUAAUAUAAAAAUAAUCUGGCUUGGAGUUCUUCAUGAAAGAUGUACGAAAAUGUCUUUUCUAUAACUCGGUAAAAUUUCGUAAUUUUUAGAGGUCAUAUGGAUAUUUUAAUCGAAUUUCUUCAGAAACUGUGCAUUCUGAUUUUACCCGAAAAUGACAUGCCAUUUUGUGAGAAUUGUGAAAUUUUGUGAAAUUCUAUUUGGCGAUGUAUUUUGCAUGAAAUUAUUAUCCUAUUGGAUAGUUUAUGACUUGCCUUAAUUUUUAUAAUUUUUGGGAAUUUAUAGAUAUUAAAUUUAAUAUUUUUGAAAUUAACAAAAAAAAAGAUGGAAUUUAAAUAAAUGAAAAAAGGGCAUGAAAAAUGGAUUAUUUUAUUGGCCAUAAAUUCCAUUAAUUUUAUUUCAUAAAUAAUUAUACCAUGUUCAUGUGUGGUGAGGUCUUGAUGUAUUCAUGACAUUGAAUUGACAUACAUGUGUGAAUUCCAUGCCAAGUAUAACUUGUUGGAUGUCACGCCAUAUGCCAUGCUAAAUUAAGACUGAAAUCGGUAAACACGGAUAAUGAUAAGUGAGGAGGUGGUUGUGGUGGAGGAUGAUGCCCGGAAUGUAUAGAGAUGCAUUGCCGGAUGGCCUUGGGAGAUUCAGGAUGCCCGUAACGUGGGGGUGUCGGAAGCCCUAUCGGAGGUCUUUGCCUGAAGGGAAUGCCUCGCGAUGCCAAGAUUGGGGUGCGGGAUGCCCAGCCAGGGAGUGUAAAUGCCGGAAGCCUUGUCGAAGGUCUUUGCCCGAAGGGAAUGCCUCGUGAUGCCAGUUGGGAUGCGAGAUGCCGGGAAUGUGGGGGGCCGGAAGCCUGGUGGCCUGGAAUGGCUGAAUGCCGGAAGCCUUGGAGGUCUUUGCCCGAGGGGAUGAUGAAAUUGAUGAUCCGAGGAAUGGGUGAUGUGGUGAUCAAAUUGAAAGUUAAAAGGGGAAAUUAACCCAUGGCAUUGAUGAUAUGCAUGAUGAUAUGCAUGAUGAUGAUGAUAAUAUGUGAUGUGAUAUGAUGAUGAUCACCCAUGACAUGAUGAUAUGCAUGAUGAUAUGCAUGAUGAUGAUGAUAAUAUGUGAUGUGAUAUGAUGAUGAUCACCCGUGGCAUGAUGAUAUGCAUGAUGAUGAUGAUGAUGAUGAUGAUGAUGAUGAUGAUGAUGAUAUGCAUAAUGAUGAUGAUGAUGAUGGUGAUGAUAUAUGAUGAUAUGAAUGAUGAUGAUGAUGAUGAUGAUGGUGAUGAUGAUAUGGCAUGAUGAUGAUGAUGAUAUAUGAUAUGGCAUGGUGACAUGUGUAAUAUGAUGAUGCCAUGAUGAUGGUGACAUGUGCAAUAUGAUGAUGACAUGUGUGAUGUCAUGAUGUCAUGAUGAUGAUGACAUGUAUAUGAUUAUGAUAAUGAUGCAUGAUAGUAUGCGCAUGGCUUCAAGGUAAGUAACGCCUGCAAUGCAUGUAUAAUUUGCAUGAUGCAUUGAGUGGCUAUUGGAUUCUUUUACCUGCUGAGUGGUUGUACUCACCCCUUUUGGGGACCAACAUUUCAGAUUAGCAGCAUGUCGCUUCUUGCCAUUACGCGGGGUACAUUUUACGGUUUACCAUCCGACGUCGAGGUAGAGUGCGAGGAGUUCGACUGUCCUUUGAUACCUAGAUUGACAUAUAUUCGUGUGCGAUGUUUUGUCAUGUACGACAUAGGCCUGGCUGGGGGCCCGAUUGUCUAGGAGUUCGUCUUCGUCCACGUUCGUCACGACGGGGUGAUGAGAGGGAUGCUGCCACCUCCACCGCCUGACACAUCGGAUUGGGUGUGAGGCCCGUGCGUGACGAGUAGGAGCUGGAUCUUUUUGGAUAGUUAGCCGACACUUAUGAUGGGGGUUGUGCACGUGAGAUGUAGAGGGUCGAUGGUUCUUUUUGGGGUUUUAGGCUGGACAUGGCCGAGUCCUAGCUUUUCCUUUUGAUGUAUUGACCCAAAAGAAGUCUCAUCUUGAAAAUAUAUGUAAAUAAAGUGUCGUGGCUUGUCUAUAAAAUCAUGGUGAUUAGUGGUGUGUAUUUGAUCAUGGUUGGUAGGGGGAGAGAUGGUGAUGUUUGAAUUUGCUACCGCUAAUGAGUCGCGCUGGGACCGUGUUGUUAAAAAAAAAAAUGUGUCUAUGAAAUUACGACGCUUCUUCUAAAGGAGAAAUGUAAUAAGGUGUAACAUUGGCGCUGGUGGCGACCUACAAAGGGUUCGGGGUGCCACAUACGGGGACUUGGUUUCACUAGAUUUCUCUAAUGUCCUUUCGGUACCAUUUCUUUUAAUUUUCAAAAAUGUUUUUGCAGGCAGCUUAGAUUUAUUUUAACCUAAAUUACUAUCAUGUCAAAAAGUGAUCACAUGAUGAUCAAGCAUUCAAUAAAUAAAUUACAUCACACAAAGCAAACAAUUUUUUUUGGGUUUCCUUGAAAAUUAUAACUCUUUUAUAAAAUGCAUUUUUAAACUAAAUGACUUAAUCUUAUUAAUAUGCAAAUUCUAAUUAAAUGGGCCUAUUAUGCAAACUAGUUAUUAUGCAUCUCAUGACCUAACUUCACUAAUGAACAAAUUAUGAUUAAAUGAUCCUAUUAUGUGAACUAGUUAACAUGCACCUAGUAUUUUUGUAUUUUUUUUAUUGAAAUUCAGCAUUACUAAAAACCCUAAUUAAUCUAUCUGAAAAGGGAUAAUUUUCUAAUUUAUUCUAGGGAUUAAUUUGACUUAAACCCUAUCCUAUCUUAGAAAACUAUUUUUUUUUUAAAUGAGAUAAUUAAAAUGUGAAUUAAUUUAGGUCCAACCCUAACUUAUUUCUAAAAAUGCAACCCUAAAAAUGUAAUCCUAAGAAAAUUCUAAUUUACUAAACCUACAUGUCUGAUUUACUAAACCUAUAUGCUCGUGUAGAAUUUUGAUUUUUUUUUUAUUUUCUGAUUUUUUUAGUUUAUUUUUAAAGAUAAAUAAUUAUUAAAUAUUAAAUUUAAGUCAUCAACAAAAUAAAGGAUUAAAAUAAUCGAAAAAAUAACCUGUUGUCUCAUAGGUCAAAUUAACGAUUAUCCUAACCCUAAUUACAACAACAAAGAGAUCAAAAUAAUUAAAAAUCUGAUCUGAAAUCUUACGGAUCAAAUUAAUAAUUAUAAUGAUUUAAUAAUUAAAAUUUUACCGAAAGCCCAAAAAUUAAUAUAAUUAAAAAAAUAAUCUGAUGUCUCUCGGAUUAAAUUAAUAAUUACAUUAAUUCCAGACGAAAUCCUAGUGGAUAAUGCCUACAAAAUGCACAAAUAUUAACAUUGACAAACCAUAUUCUAACUUUAAAAAAAAAAUGAAUAAAAUAAUAAGAAAAAAAAUAAACCACCUAAGGAAAUUUUUAAAAAAAAAGGAGAAGCGACAGUGGGUGGCGCUGGGCGAAGGACAGCUGGCUGCUGGCGUCGGGGCUCUGGCGAGAUGAGACAGCGAUGGCUUUUGCGGGUUCGGCUCUGGCGGAGGCAUGUUAACUGGCUUGGGACCUACUGGCAUUGGGGCAGAAGCAUCUGUUAGGGAAAUCCCUUGUGAUGUUUUGAAAAUGACAAAAUAAAUCAAAUGCUACUAACGUGUUUAAUGGUUAAGUAAUCCCUUAUGAUGUUUUGAAGUUGACAAAAUAAAUCAAAUGCUACUAACGUGUUUAAUGGUUAAGUAAUCCCUUAUGAUGUUUUGAAGAUGACAAAAUAAAUCAAAUGCUACUAACGUGUUUAAUGGUUAAGUAAUCCCUUAUGAUGUUUUGAAGAUGACAAAAUAAAUCAAAUGCUACUAACGUGUUUAAUGGUUAAGUAAUAGAUCAUGCAGAUGAUAGAACAUAUAAAUAAUAUUGUCAAAGUCUAAAGACGGCCAGAAGACUGAACGUAACACAUGUCCAAAAUAUAUUCUGAAGAUUUCCAGACUUCUGUGUCAAAAUCUGAAGACUACCAAACUUUAGUGUCAAAGUCUGUUCUACAUUAUAAGUCUGCCAACUCUGAUAAAUUCCAGGCUGAACGUGAAUGAAGAACCAGAAGAUAGACCCUAUGCUGAAGCUGAACCAGAAAACAAACUCAAUGCUGAAGCUAAACUUAUUCAGACUGUAUUCAAACCUUAAAGCUAAAACUUUUCUAAAGCAGAAUAUGUUCAAACCCAGAUUGUGAAGUCUAUUACACUCAGACUUAGAUUAUAAAGUCUAUUGCACUUAAACUCAUAUUGUAAAGUCUAUUGCACUCAGACUUUACAUUCAGAUUCGACAGAACGUAACACAAGCCCCAAUCAUAUAACGGGUAGUGAUCUGGUUUGGAUUCCACAUCAAUAUUGAUUUGAUUGACCCAAUCUAAUUGAUUGACGAUUGGAUCUUGAAAACAAGAACUUUCUACACGAAGAAGCUUUACUUAUGGAAACCAAUAUUCUAUUUGUAUGGGCGAUUGGAAUCAAUUUGGGAUUCUACUUUUGUCACUCAACGGCUACCAAAUCUUCUAGAUACAGAGCUGUCUAAUGUAUUGGAAGACGAUCCUCGAGAUACUGUCCAACGACUAGUUUGGAAGUGGAGGAGUAUUUAAGGAGAUGAAGAACCGAUGAGCAAGUAAGAGACGGAGCAUAGAAUUUAUAAUUCCAAAGUCUGAGCGACCUUCGAUCAUACACUUGUCUCUUGUGAGCUUAAACGUUUGUGAUCGUGAGAGAAAUACCAAAAGAGUGACUUAGUGAAAUAGUAUGAUCUACUACUAAGUGUUUGCAUUCAAAGUUGUAAUCUCUUGUUAAUUGCAUAGUGGAAUUCAACCAAGAAGGUUGUUAGCGUGGGAGAGUGGACGUAGGAUUGGUCUAAGCCGAACCACUAUAAACCUUGUAUUCUUAUUCUCUUCCCUAAAUCUCCUUUAUUUUGUUCGUAGUUCUAUUUAAUUGCUAAAGUUUGAACUCGCUCAAAGUCUGUUGACUCAGUUUCAAAAGUUUGUUGUUAUUCAUACUUAGGUUAACAGUAAAGGUUUUCAGUGUAUUUUGCAGAAUCUAUUUUUACACCUAUUCACCCCCCUCUAAGUGUUCAUACUAGUACUUUCAAUUGGUAUCAGAGCCAAGUGCUCGGUUUAUAAAAGUGUUUUUACUUUUGAGCUAAAGAUCUUUUAUGGCUAGUAUCUUGGCACCAAGACUUAUGGAGGGACAAAGCAACACAAGGCCACCAUAUUUUGAUGGAAAAGAAUACAACUUGUGGAAGAACAAAAUGAAGGCAUUCCUAAGAUCUAGAGAUCUCUUGCAAUGGGAUGUUGUGGAAAAAAGAAUCAAUCCCACUAUUGCAUCUACAUCAAAUAAGAAUGGCAAAGACAAAGAAACCAAACCCCCUGCUCCUAUGUCUCGGAUGGAGAUAUCUAAAAGAGAAGCGCUUGAUGCAAAAGCUAUUUAUUCUUUAUAUUGCGCAUUGUCUCCUGCUGAAUAUAACCAAAUCUCUUCAUGUGAAAUAGCAAAAGAAAUUUGGGAUAGACUUCAUGUUACAUAUGAAGGGACUUAUCGUGUAAAAGAGACAAAAGUAAACUUCUUGCUCGGCAAAUAUGAAUCCUUUAAGAUGAAGAAAGGAGAGUUGAUUGGAGAUAUGUUUUUUUUUUUUUGAAACAUUGAUUGGAGAUAUGUUUAAUCGCUUUAUAGAAAUUGUAAACGGUUUGGCAUAUCAAGGUCAUCAAAUUUAUGCUCCAAUGAAGGUCAACAAACUUUUGCGAGGUUUCUCAAAAGAUUGAAACCACAUCAAAACCUCAAUCCAAGAGAGUCAAAGGAUUAUGCCAUUCUCCGUUGAUGAAUUGAUUGGCACUCUUCAAUCCUACGAAGUGGAACAAAUCGUCGAUGAAGAUCCCGAAGGUAAAAAGUCCAUUGCUUUAAUAUCUAAUGUUGAUUCUAAUGAUACAGACUCAGAAAAUGACAUGGACGACGAAGAACUUGUUUUUAUGAUCAAGAAAUUCAAAAAGCUGAGUAGAAAAGGAAGGAAAUUCGAUGGAAGAAGACAAUACAAGCAGAAUGGGCAGAAAAGAACAAUGAAAGAAGAUGAUGAGUAAAGAAAUAUAUGCUUGAUGGUACAUUCAGAAUCUGAGUCUGACUCAGACACAGACUCAGAAUCAGAGUCUGACUUAGACACAGACUCAGAAUCCAAUGAGGAAAUUGAGGUAAGCUAUUCAAAAAUUCCUCUCAAAGUUUCAAAGUAUAUAAAUGAGCUUUGCUUAAAUCUCAAAUCUUCUCUUAAAAGGAUCUCUGAACUUAAAAAGGAGAAUUCUUGGCUUAGGCAACAGGAUCUUUCUCAAAAAGAAAAUUUUGAAAUUUUGCAAAAAGAUUUUCUACAAAUAAAAGAAAGUCGAGAUUUACUUGUCAAAGAAAAUGAUUCUUUAAAAAAGGAAUUUUCAAAUAUUUCGACAAGAUUUUCAAAUUGUUCAAAAACAUUAGAGCAUAUAUUUUCUAUACAAGUACCUUACUAUAAUAAGUCGGGACUUGGUUUCAAUAAGGAAAAUGAUUCUCUAAUUGAUUUUCCUAAAGUCAAGGAAAGACUUAAACAAAAACCUCCAAAGGCAUUUUACAAAAAUCAUUUUCAAGAAGUGUUUGUAAAACAUGUUGGUGGAAAUAACAUCAAGUGUUCAAAUUGUGGAGAUUUGGAACACUUUGAGAAAAAAAUGUCCUAAAAUCUGGAGACCUAUCAAGAAAAAUUGGAUAAAAACAACAUACUCUACUAACUCUCAUGGACCCAAGAAAAAAUGGGUAUCAAAGAAAAGAUGAGUUAUUUUUGCAGGAAAUAAAGGAAGAGAAGAAUGAGAGUUUGGUAAGGAAUGUAUAUUUUUUUUUUAUUUUCAAUUUGAUUUGAGUUUGGUAAGGAAUGUGUAUAUAUAUAUAUUUCAAUUUGAUUUGAGUACACAAUUUAAAAUUUCUCAUUAUACUUGAUAUUCGAUAUAUCCUUGGUUGAUUGAGAUUUUAUAAUGAUCAUAUUUUGUUUCAUUGAAGAAAGAAUCAUAUGAUUUGUUUGUGAUUCGUAAGUUGAGAUUUGGUUUAAUACGUGUGAUUAUUUGAGAUAAUUCAAAUUAUUUUGUCUAAUUUUAUACUCUCAGAUUUAGUCAUAUUUUGCAAAGUGAAAAUCUGUUUUACGUGAUGAUGCUAUAUUCUUAGAUAUUCAAGGAUUUUAUUCUCUCUGUUUUUAUCGUACUAUGACUAAGUGAGAAUUUAUUUUUCAAAUAUCAUUGUGCAUAAUAUUCUUUCUUUGAAUACUUUGUUAUGAUGAAUUAAGAAAGAAUAUUUGUUUAUGGAGAUUUUAUAUUUUGCUCUAACGUCAUGGAAGGAUCCAAAUUGAUGGAUACCAAAAAGGAAAUGAGUUGAUUGCAGGAAAUUCAAUAAAGCAAGAAUGAUUGCAAAUCUACGUAAAUUUUGGUGCAAUAAGAAAAGAAUCUCAGGCGAAGAUUGGUAAUGAUAUUUUUUAAAUCAGUGGUAUAUUUGAAACAUAUACCUGGGUAAGAGAAAAAAAAUUUCAUCCCGCCUUGCAAAUUUCUACGUGCAUUUAUCAUGAUUUUGGAUGAUUGUUUAUUAUAUUGCGAUUAUCUUUUGUUAUAAAUAUAAGGUAUUGCAAUUUUGGCACGUGACAGAAAUAUCUAUUUUCCUUUUGCAAAAUGCAUAUCUGAAAUUUAUGCUCAAGGAAAUCUCUUUGAUCUCGAAAGAUAUUAUUGCAUAUUCAUGGAUAUUCUUGCUAUAUUCUUAGAAGAUAUAUUAUUUCUAGCAAGUUUGAUCCGCAAAUCAAAGGAAGAUAUUACGUGACAUUUUUGCAAAGAUGAUUAUCUAUUAUAUAAGAUUUUGCAGGUGAUAAUAGAAUCUUCCAUAUGAAUUUUGGAAAGCUCGAUCUGAAAAUUAUGAAGAUUCUAUACUAUCUUUUGAAGGUUUAAAAAUUCCCUUCUUUGUGCAAAUUUUUUGCUUAUUGAGGAAAUCCCUUAUGCGUCGUACGAAAGAUUAAGUAGUUCUGAAUUUUAAUUUCAUAUAUGAAUACUUUUAAUUUCAUAUAUGGUAUUUCAAUUUAUUUAUUUGAAGAAAUGGGAUUAUAUAUUAUAUGGAUACUAUUACAGCUUAUUUGUGCAAAAAGUUUGUUAAGUUGAUGCAGGUUGAAUUCGAGACGAGCUUGAUUGAAGAAAAUAAAAUUUUGCCUCGAAUUUCAAAAUGCAAGUGAUCGUUGUGGAUGUUGUUGCUACAAGGGAAAUACUGAAAAAUAUUCUGUUUCAACUUGUGCCAAACAAUUGUUUCUAUUCGCAAAUAUUGUCAUGAUCACAGGGGGAGAACGUGAAUCUAAAAGAAAGGAAAGAAUCGUGAUCAUCUCAAAAAGGCAACAAAUUGAGGGGGAGCUUUGAUCAAUUAUGGAAAAAUCUUUUUGGAUUGAUUGUGAUCUUGUUAUGGAAGGAAGGAAAAAUGUAAAUGUGUCAGAAUUUAAGUUCUACAAAAUCCGAUUAGUGCAUCUUUUAUUACCUUUUGUUAUUAACAAAUCUCUUAUUGAUAUUAUCAUUUUCUUAUGACAAAAAGGAUAAGUGAAUUUUAUAAUGCAUCCGUGAUUUUUAUUGGAUAUUUGCUAAUAUAUAUGAUCAAAGUGAGCUAUAUUGCAUAUCUUUAAUAUUCAACUUAUUUUAUAAAUGUUGAUAUCUUUUUUUAAAUUGUGCAAGAUAUAUUUGUUAUCAUUUUAUAUUCUCUACGUGAUAGUUUUUCCAUUAUUAUCGCUUUUUGAUUAUGACAAAAAGGCGGAGAAGAUAUGAAUAUGCAUAUGUGUUGAUUGGUUGAUAUUAUUUAUUGCAUAAUAUUGAGCUGCGAUUAUUUUUCUAUAUAUUAUUAUGCUCAAUCUAUUUGCUAUCUUCUGAUAUCCUUUGAUUUAAAUUAAUAUUUUUAAAAGUAUGUUUACAAAUUUGCAUAUUCAGAUAUUGUUUUGUCAUCAUAAAAAAUAAGGAGAUUGUUAGGGAAAUCCUUUAUGAUGUUUUGAAGAUGACAAAAUAAAUCAAAGGCUACUAACGUGUUUAAUGGUUAAGUAAUAAACCAUGUAGAUGAUAGAACAUAUAAAAGAUAUUGUCAAAGUUUGAAGACGGCCAGAAGACUGAACGUAACAUAUGUCCAAAGUAUACUAUGAAGAUUUCCAGACUUCUGUGUCAAAGUUUGAAGACUACCAGACUUUAGUGUCAAAGACUACCAGACUUUAGUGUCAAAGUCUAUUCUACAUCAUAAGUCUGCCAACUCUGACAAAUUCCAGACUGAACGUGAAUGGAGAACCAGAAGACAAACCAUAUGCUGAAGUUGAACCAGAAAACAGACUCUAUGCUGAAGCUGAACUUAUUCAAAUUGUGUUCAGACCUUCAAGCUAAAACUGUUUAGAAGCAAAAUAUAUUCAGACCCAUAUUGUGAAAUCUAUUGCACUCAGACUUUACAUCCAGAUUUGACAGAACGUCACACAAGCCCCAAUCAUAUAAUGGGUAGUGAUCUGGUUUGGAUUCCACAUCAAGAUUAAUUUGAUUGGCUCAAUCUAAUUGAUUGACGAUUGGAUCUUGAAGACAAUAACUUUCUAUACAAAGAAGCUUUACUUAUGGAAACCAAGAUUCUGUUUGUAUGGGCGAUUGAAAUCAAUUUGGGAUUCUACUUUUGUCACUCAACGGCUACCAAAUCUUCUAGAUACAGAGUUGUCCAAUGAGUAGAUUGGAAGACAAUCCUCGAGAUACUGUCCAACGGCUAGUUUGGAAGUGGAGGAGUAUUUAAGGAGAUGAAGGACCGAUGAGCAAGUAAGAGACGGAGCGUGGAAUUUAUAAUUCCAAAGUCUGAGCGACCUUCGAUCAUACACUUGUCUCUUGUGAACUUAGACGUUUGUAAUCCUGAGAGAAAUACCAAAAUAAUGACUUAGUGAGAUAGUGUAAUCUACUACUAAGUGUUUGCACUCAAAGUCGUAAUCUCUUGUUGAUUGCAUAGUGGAAUCCGGCCAAGAAGGCUGUUAGCGUGGGAGAGUGGACGUAGGCUUGAUUUAAGCCAAAUCACUAUAAACCUUGUGUUCUUAUUCUCUUCCCUAAAUCUCCUUUAUUUUGUUUGUAGUUCUAUUUAACUGCUAAAGUCUGAACUCGCUCAAAGUUUGUUGACUCAGUUUCAAAAGUCUCUUGUUAUUCAGACUCAGGUUAACAGUAAAGGUUUUUGGUGUAUUUUGCAGAAUCUAUUUUUACACCUAUUAACCCCCCUCAAGGUGUUCAUACUAGCACUUUUAGCGUCGCGGGUGGAGGCUCGAGCAGAGGCGGUGGGCUUGCGGGUGAGACAGAGCGCAAUGGUGUUGGGUUGAGUUGUUGCGAGGAGCGCCAGCGAAGGAGAUCGAAAGCGCGAGUGUCACGGGAUCCGGUACUCGGGUGGUCAAAGGCGUAGCAACAACGGGGGCACGGCGGGCCGACUCAGAAUCGGCUGGGCUACUGGUUGUAGAGGCACGAUCAUCGAGCUGCAACGGAGGAGCAAUUCAUUGGGUAAAGGGUGGAGUGGCUCGACUCGGGCUCGACUAGAGCAGCAACAGCAUCGGUACAGAGGCAGAUCGGCACUGGGCAGUCGACAACCAGUGGAGCGGCGAUGGUUAGCGGUUCAACUGCCGGCGGUGGGUGGAGACGCCUUAGGCGCGACAACGAGCAAAACAGGAGCCGCAGCAACGUCAGAAGGGGAAUGGGCAGUGGCCGGCACAGCGCAAGACUACCCACGCGAAGAAGACGACCUGUUCCUGCUUUUUUUUCUUUCCUUGCUGAUUGACGUCUUUUCAUGGUCUCCUCUCUUUGCUCACCUUUACUUUUCCGCAGAAACUUCACUUUUCUUUUUUUACUUUUUGAACUUUUCUCUUCUCUCCUUUCGACAAAGAGAAAAACUAGAAAAAGCCCCCCCCCCCCCAUUUUCACGUCUCACUUUCUCUAUUUAUAUAGGAAAAACUCGAGUUUGUUUUUGCAGGUGGAGAUUUUCACUCAACCACUUAACAAAGAAAUGGCUCCAAAAUCACACAACUAUUUUUUUGAAUUUUGAAACGAGGAUAUAUUUUCAACAACAAAGAUUUUCAAAACCAAAUGUUUUAUUUUAUUUAUUAUUUUCUAAAAUAUUAGGUGUCAACAUGUUUUGAUGAAGAAGUGGCCACAUUCUAAGAGAGAUUGUUUGGCUGGACGACCUCUGGUUCAGAAGGGUUUGAUUCCAUGUCAUGGUCUGGAGGAUCGGCCAUGAAUAUGGAUGAGGUUACUAGUGGUAUGGGAGAGGGAUCAACAGAAGGGAGUGAGAAAGAUGAUGAAGAUGAGAGGGAUACUGAGUUUGAUUCGGUGUUAAAAAUGUUUGGAAAGGCUAAUUCUGUUGAAAACAAAAUCUGGUCUGUCAGAAUGACAGGAUCAAUCUGUUGUGGAAGCUAUGAAGUAACAGGAUCAGGUUAUGGUCAUGGUUACCCAAAUCUCUAAGAAAAGAUUUUAAUGGAUUUGACAACAUUAAUUGAUAUGGCCUUUCUCUUAUAACAAGCGGGGAUUCUUUGGACUUCUUCUCUUUUCCCUUUUAUUUCCUUAUUCGAUCCAGUUCUUUAAGACGAUUUCGCAUUUUAGCCACAUAUGUCUUGUUUUGCUGAACAGGAAUAUCUGUGAUAGUAGCAAAAAUGGAUGUCUAAGGUGGUGGAGGAGAAAGAGGCUCUGCUCGCAGAGUGGUUGGAAAUGAAUUGAGUCUUCCUUCUUCAAGGAUCUGGAUUUGCCUUUUGAGUUUGUCUAUUUCAGCCUUAGGACUUUCGAGAUAAUGAUAUCCUAAAUGUUGUCAAGAUUCUAAGGCAUGGAGCAUCUUUUGGAAAUCUGAAAGCAUCCUCUUGGUGGUUUCAUCAAAUCUUCGCAAGUCUUGUUGCACAUUUCCAAUCUUGGAAUCAAUUGCUUUAAAUGCAUUGCUGUGUGUAAGGAGAGUUUCCGAUUGCCAAUUUAGAACAGCUUCAGCAACAGGAGUUCUUUUCUGUCUUUCAUGCUCAUCCACAUCAGUGAGGGCGGGUAUCUUAGGCACAUGCCUAUAUCUGCCUUGUUGAUCAAUAAAUUCUUCUGAAGCAAGAAACGAGAGUUUAGAACUUUCCCGAACAAGAGGAGGAAAGUCUAUUUCGUGAAACAUGGCAAUGGAAGAGAUGGGUGGUAUUUAUGUUGGAACCUCAAGUGGGUAGGUAUGUUUCUUUGCCCACUUUACAAUUGACUUAUAAAAUGGAGAAAUGGCUAGCUUUUUCUAAAGAGGAGAUGGAGGUGGUGAUGAUGGUGGAUCUGGUGAUACAAAGGAAGAAACAUUGUGUUGGAGAAAACUUCCUUGUGUAUUUUGAAGAUGACAAAAUGUUUCCAUCAGUCUAGCCUAAAGACUUGCAGACUCUUUAGUCAAAGUCUGAAGAUUGCCGAACUGCCAAACUCAAGGUUCAAAGUCUAUCCUCAUUGACAGUUUCUAAACCGUCGAAGAAGACUUAUCCAGAAUUGAGUAUCUUGUUAACGAUUUGAUUCUAUCGACUGAAGAAGAUCUCUCGGCUGGAGAUAGCAUCUUGGAAUCUGUUAUUCGUUUUGAUUUCAAUUCGGGUAAUUUAGAUUCGUUGAAUGGCGAAGCAUACUUGGAAGGUUCUACUUAUUGAAACCUAGAUCCUAAUUGUAUGGGUGAGCAUGAUUGGCGGGCUAUCAUCAUAUUCAUUAAAUAACUCGAAAUCUCCCUAAUUGAUUCUGUCCAAUAGGUAGAUUGGAAGAGCUCCUUUGGUAAGUGCCAACGGGUAUGAAGGCAUGGAGGAGUAUAUAAGGAAAACGUUUUAGUUAUUCGAGUGUGUGCGCGAUAGAAGAAUUCCAAAGUCUGAAGCUCCUUAUUUUUUGUCAAUUCAAUUGUUGAGCAAAAACUUGUACUCAAAAGAGCGUUUAUACUUCUGUGAGACCUUGAGGAAGUGUAGUAGAGUCUCUACACUGUGGAAUCAAGGAAGAGCAAUACUAUAACAACUCUUUUGAUUCUUAGUGAAAUCCAAUCGGUGGACUGUUAGUGCGGAAAAGUGGACGUAAGCUUAAAUCAAGCCGAACCACUAUAAACUUUGUGUUCUUAUUUUUAUCCUAAGCUCUUUACUUUGAUCAUAACAAUAUUUGUUUGUUAGAGUCUAAUUUCCUUUUCAUAAUAUAUUGCUAAAUAUAAUUGGUUUAAAAGCGAAACUAUUUUCUCUACAUUGCGAAAAUUUGUUUCGCACCUAUUCACCCCCUCUAGGUGCUCGUACUAGCUUUCACAAUUGGUAUCAGAGCUUGUGUACUCAUUUAAGUUGAAGUGUUUUUACUUCAGAGUUAAAGAUCCAUGGUUAGUAUGUUGGCUCUAGGUCUGGUUGAAGGGCAAAGUAACACCAGACCGCCAUAUUUUGAUGGAAAGGAUUACAACAUUUGGAAAAACAAGAUGAAGGCAUUCCUAAGAUCAAAGGAUCCUCUGGAAUGGGACGUGGUAGACAAAGAAAUCAUUCCUAAAGCUGCAAUAGUCUCAGAAAGAGGAAAAGAAGCUGUUGAUGUUGGAGAAAUCUUCUUGAAGUGUUUUGAAGUUGACAAAACGUUUCUAUCAGUCUAGUCUGAAGGCUUGCAGACUCUGCUAUUUAAAGUCUGAAGACCUCCGGACAGCCAGACUCAAGACUCAAAGUCUAUCCUCAUUGACAGUCUCUAAUCCGUUGAAGAAAGGUUAUCCAGAACUGGAUGUUUCGUUAAGGAUUUAACCUUAUCAACUGGAGAAGAUCUCGUGGCUGGAGAAGACAUAAACGGAGUCCUUUGAUUGAUCGAAGAUUGAUUCGAUAAUUGAAGAUCCGGUGAUUGCCUAAAUAUUAUUGGAAGGUUCUGCUUAUGGAAACCGAGAUCCUGAUUGUAUGGGCGAACAGGAUUGAUGGGCUAUCAACACGUUCCUUUAAUAACUUGAACAAUCUUCCUAAUUGAUUCCGUCCAACGGGUAGAUUGGAGGAAUUCCUUUGGUAAGUGCCAAUGGGUAUGAUGGCAUAAAGGAGUAUAUAAGGAAGACUGUCUUAGUUGUUCAAGGUGUGCGCGAUAGAAGAAUUCCAAAGUCUGAAGCUCCUUUUUGUUUAGACAAAUCCUUUGAGAGAAUACUUGUAUACAAAAGAUAGUCUAUAUUUGUGAGAAAUCUUGAGGAGGUGUGGUAGAACAUCUACGCUGUGGAAUCAAGGCAAAACUGUGCUGUAACUUCUCUUUUGUUCAUAGUGGAAUCCAGCCAAUAGGCUGUUAGUGAAGAAGAGUGGACGUAAGCUUGAUAUAAGCCGAACCACUAUAAACCACGUGUUCAAUUUUCUCUUCUCUCAGUCUUACUUUGAUUAACGUUUCCUUCUACUGUCUAGUAUUGUGCAAUUGUUGAAGAAAAAUCUUUUAUAUACCUAUUCACCCCCCUCUAGGUACUCAUACUAGCAAUAUCAAUUGGUAUCAGAGCCUGUGUACUUACUUUAUUUGAAGUGUUUUACUUCGUAGUAAAAGAUCCAUGGCUAGUAUGCUAGCACCAGGGCUGAUGGAAGGGCAAAGCAAUACCAGACCACCCUACUUUGAUGGAAAGGAUUUCAACAUCUGGAAUAACAAGAUGAAAGCUUUCCUUCAAUCAAAGGAUCCUCUGGAAUGGGACGUUGUAGAAAAAGGAAUUACUCCUACCACUGCAUCAGUCUCUGAAAGAGGAAAAGAAACUGAUGAGACCAGCGGAAUGUCUCAGGAAGAAAUAAUCAAGAGACAAGCACUCGAUGCAAAAGCAAUUUACUCCUUAUAUUGUGCUUUAUCACCAACUGAAUAUAACAGAAUAUCUUCUUGUGGUACAACAAAAGAAGUUUGGGACAGAUUGCAUAUCACCUAUGAAGGAACAGAUCGAGUGAAGGAAACAAGAAUCAACAUUCUUCUCGGUCAAUACGAAGCCUUCAGAAUGAAACAAGGAGAAUCUGUAUCUGACAUGUUUAGUCGUUUUACAGAUAUUGUAAAUGGUCUUGAAAAUCAAGGUCAACCAACUUCUGAUCCCAUGAUGGUAAACAAGCUGCUGCGUGGACUCUCCAGGGAUUGGAAUCACAUAAAGACUUCGAUAAGAGAGACGCAAAGAAUUAUACCACUAUCUGUCGACGAGCUAAUUGGAACUCUUCAGUCUUAUGAAGUGGAACGGAUCAAUGAAGAUGAAGAUCCAAAAGGUAAGAAAUCCAUUGCAUUAAAAUCAAAUGAUGAUUCUGAUGAUACAGAUUCUGAAGAAGAUAUGGACGAUGAGGAGCUUGCUCUCAUGAUAAGAAGAUUCAGAAAACUGAAUAGAAAAGGAAGAAGGUUCAACUCAAAGAAACAAAGCUUUCAAAGACAGCAGACCAAGUCUGUUGAUGAUGAGGAACCAAAUAAAGACAUAGUCUGCUUUGAAUGUAAGAAAAAGGGACACAUCAGACCCAACUGUCCUCUUCUGAAGAAGAAAAAAGGAAAAGCUGAAAAAUUUCGAAAAGCUCUCAAAGCCGAAACCUGGAGUGACACAGAGUGUGGAGAAAGUGAUAAUGAAUAUGCCAAUCUAUGUCUGAUGGCACAAUCAGACUCAGACUCUGGAUCAGACUCAGACAGUGAAUUUGAGGCAAGUAAUUUUAAAAUUCCUGUCAAAGUUUCUAAAUACAUUGAUGAACUGUGUUUUAGUCUUAAGACUUCUCUCAAAAGAAAUUCCGAACUGAAAAAGGAAAACUCAGCUUUAAAGCAAAAGGAAAAUGUUUUAGUAGAAAGAGUUAAAAGUCUAGACUUGACUGUUUCCACUCUUAAAGAAAAUGAAGAUAAUCUUUUAAAAGAAAAUGCUCUUUUAAAAACAGACUUAUCAAAUAUCUCAAAGAAAUUUUCAAUAGGGUCUGAAAAACUUGAGAAAAUUCUUUCAGCUCAAAGACCUUACUUCAAUAAGUCCGGUCUAGGUAUGACAGUAGAAACAAUUCCCUUGAUUGAUUUUCCUAAAGUAAAAGAAAGAAUUAAGAAAACACUCUCGAGAGAGGUUUACAAAAAUCACUUCAAGAAAGUUUUUGUAAAACCUGUAGGUAGAAAUGCUCUCAGAUGUUCAAAAUGCAACAGUCCGGAUCACUUUGAAAAAGAGUGUCCUAUGGUUUGGAAACCUGUUAAGAAAUUUUGGGCUAAUACUGCUUAUGUUACUAACACCAAAGGACCCAAGAAAGUUUGGGUACCAAAGAAAGCUUGAGACUCUUUUUUAAAUGCAGGUCACCGUCAAGAAAAAGGUAAAGUGGUAUCUUGACAGUGGAUGCUCAAGACACAUGACAGGAGACUCAAAUUGUUUUAUAAAGCUUGCUCAAGUAAAUGGUGGAAAAGUUUCAUUUGGAGGAAACAGCAAAGGAAGUAUUGUGGGAUUUGGAACUGUGAAAAUUGGAAAUCUCACAAUAAGUAAUGUUUCCUUAGUGGAAGGACUCAAUUACAAUCUUCUCAGCAUUAGUCAACUGUGUGAUACUGGUUUCAAGAUCUUCUUUCAAGAAGAAAUAUGUUCUGGAAUCAGUAAAGACUCUACUCAGUCUUUCAUGGGUCGAAGACAUGGAAACAUCUAUCUUCUGGAUGUGAAACCAAAUGAAUCGCAAUGUUUUAUCUCAAUUCAAGACGAAGCAAGCUUAUGGCAUAGAAAGCUUGGUCAUGUCAACAUGAAGCAAUUAGCCAAAAUCUCAUCAAAACAGCUUGUUCGAGGACUACCCAAAUUACCUUAUCAAAAGACUGAUCCAUGCACUCCAUGUAUUCUGGGAAAACAGGUAAGAAAUUCAUUUAAGCCAAUAAAUCAUGUCUCUACUAAUCAUGUACUACAGUUGCUGCAUAUGGAUCUCUUCGGACCAACCAGAACACAGAGUAUUGGAGGUAAGAAAUAUUGCUUAGUAAUUGUGGACGAUUACUCCCGUUUUACUUGGGUAUAUUUCCUUGCAAGUAAGUCCGAAACCUUCUCGUAUUUUGAAAAGUUUGCUAAAAAGGUUCAAAAUGAAAAAAGAUGUGUUAUCUCAAGUAUAAGAACAGAUCAUGGAGGUGAAUUUGAAAAUCAAGAUUUUACAAAAUUUUGUGAUGAAUCUGGCUUUAAUCAUGUGUUCUCCUCUCCAUAUACUCCUCAGCAAAAUGGAGUUGUGGAAAGAAAGAACAGAUCUCUUCAGGAAAUGGCUAGAACUCUUUUAAUUGAAAGCAAGAUUUCUUCACGAUUUUGGGCUGAAGCUGUUUCAACAGCAUGUUAUAUCAUCAAUAGAGUCUUCUUAAGACCUAUUCUAGAGAAAACCCCUUACGAAUUGUUCAAAGAUAAGAAGCCUAUUGUUUCAUACUUUCAUGUAUUUGGUUGCAAAUGUUUUAUAUUGAAAAAUGCAAAAGAUCGAGUUGGUAAGUUUGAAGAAAGAUCAGAUGAAGGUAUCUUCCUUGGAUAUUCUACAUCAAGCAAAGCCUUCAGAGUCUAUAACAAGAAGAGCCAGUCUGUGGAGGAGUCAAUGAAUGUCAAAUUUCAAGACUCAACGCAAGAUGAAUCAAGUCAGACUCAUCAAGAAGAGUCUGAACCUGCUCCAGAUCUUCCAAAGCUUACAACUCAAGAAGCAUCUCAGACUCUGGAAAACCAGCAUCAGGAUGUUCGUGAAGAUCCAAACAAAGAAAGAGAUCAUCAUCCAGACAAAUCAACAAGUAACUGGAAGCAUAAGUCCAGUCAUCCCAAAGAUCUUAUAAUUGGCGAAAUUGAUGAAGGAAUUUGCACCAGAUCCAAAAGGUGAGAAGAGUCUAGUGCUGUGGCUCUUGUUUCUGAAAUUGAACCAAAAAGCAUAGAAGAAGCUUUAUCUGAUGAAAGCUGGAUUGAAGCUAUGCAAGAAGAGCUCAGACAGUUCAGCAUUAAUGAUGUCUGGGAAUUGACAUCCAAACCGAAAGGUAAAACUGUUAUUGGAGCUAAAUGGGUGUUCAGAAACAAGAUGAAUGAGAAAGGAAAAGUCGUACGAAACAAAGCAAGACUCGUGGCCAAGGGAUAUACGCAAGAAGAAUGAAUAGACUAUGAUGAGACUUACGCUCCAGUAACAAGGUUAGAAGCUAUUCGACUAUUGCUUGCGUUUGCUUGUUAUAAGAAUUUCAGGUUAUUCCAAAUGGACGUCAAAAGCGCCUUCCUAAAUGGAGUCAUCCAAGAGGAAGUUUAUGUGGAACAACCACCAGGGUUUGAAGACCCAAAGAAGCCAGACUCAGUCUUCAGACUGAAGAAGGCUUUGUAUGGUUUAAAGCAAGCACCUCGAGCUUGGUACGACAGAUUAAGUAAGUUUUUAAUACAAAAUGGUUUUGUCAAAGGUAAAGUAGAUACGACUUUAUUUAUCAAAAAGGAGAACAAAAGUUUCUUACUUGUUCAAAUAUAUGUGGAUGACAUUAUUUUCGGAUCUUCUAAUGAAAAUAUGUGCAAGAAAUUUUCUAAGUCUAUGCAGGAUGAAUUUGAAAUGAGUAUGAUGGGAGAGUUAACAUUCUUUCUUGGUCUUCAAGUAAAACAAUUGAAGGAAGGAACUUUUAUUUAUCAAGAAAAAUAUGUUAAUGAUCUUGUCAAAAGAUUUGGACUGGAAAAGUGCAAAAAGACCAACAUACCGAUGUCAAGUUCUUUGAAGAUAGACAAAGAUGAAGAAGGGAAGAAAGUUGAUCAAAAGCUGUACAGGAGCAUCAUCGGUUCACUCCUUUACCUUACUGCCUCUAGACCUGACAUCUUGUUGAGUGUUUGCAUCUGUGCUAGGUUUCAAUCAGAUCCUAGAGAAUCCCAUCUCAGUGCUGCGAAACGCAUCAUUAAAUACGUUGCUUCAUCAUCAAGCAUCGGUCUUUGGUAUCCUAAGAAGGGAGACUUUAAUCUUCUGGGAUAUUCAGACGCAGAUCUGGCCGGUUGCAGAGUUGAUAGAAAGAGCACUUCGGGAACUUGCCAGUUGCUUGGAAGCAGGACAGUGUCUUGGUUUUCAAGGAAACAAAGCACUGUGUCCCUUUCAACAACAGAAGCAGAGUAUGUAGCCCUGGGAAGCUGCUGUUCGCAAAUUCUAUGGAUAAAACAACAACUAAGAGACUUUGAAAUUGAAGACUCAUGCACGGAGAUUAAUUGCGACAAUACCAACGCUAUCAACCUCACCAAAAAUCCAAUUCUCCACUCAAGAGCAAAGCAUAUAGAGAUUCGACAUCACUUUAUUAGAGACCAUGUUCAAAAUGGAGAUGUUUCAAUUCAAUUUGUUGACUCAAAGAAUCAACUGGCGGAUAUAUUCACAAAGCCUUUGGAGAAAAAUCAAUUUGAGUCUAUACGUUCCAGACUCAACAUUUUGAGGUAUGAGGAUAUCAAAGUCUAAAGACUUUCAGACUUAGACUUACAAGACUUUAUCUGAAAGACAGUCUUGGUACGUCCGUCAGACUGUAAGUCUUUCUCCCUUGAAUCUCAUCUUGAAAAGGUACGAUCGUCAGACUGUGUUUAAACUAUUGCUAUAUUUAAUUGACGUAAAUAUUGCAUCGUUUCAUUUUCAAAAAGGAAGUUAUUUUUGAAAUGGCUAUUUUUGCGGAAAAAGACAGUUAUUUUGAAAAGGCAUAUUUUUAUUUCCUUUGUGACGGUUUGGUUAUCCCUCUUUUUAACCGAUCGUGCACUGUCGAUUCCUCUUCACUUUUCUCUCAAAAACCCUAGAAAGCAUCGAUCCUCCAUUCCCGUUUGUCUUCUUCGUUUAAUCCUCAAAAAGUUGUCAUCUUUCCUGGGAAAGUCAAGCAAGGAAUCUUCCAAAAACUGAGAAAGAUGUCAUCUUCAAGAAAGUCCUCAAGAAUCGCAAGCAGGGGACCACGGCGGAUGAGUGAGGGGCCUACGCACUUCGAUCUUACUGAAGAUGAAGUGACUCCAGAACAGCAAGCGAGCCCACAACAUUCUCAACAGCGUCAUUCUCCUCCAUCUAGUCCUCAAGGCGUUGAUCAUCAACAACAGGAAGAAAUCAUCUAGGAUGCAGACCCUGUAAGAGUUCAAAAGCCCGCUUAUAUUUACCAGCUAUAUCGUGCCCUAAAAGGAAUUCGUACUCCUUUGAACUACAUUAAUGAUUUUCUUAAAGACAAAGGACAUGGGAACGAAUAUAUCUUUCUGCGAAAAAUGGAAAGUUUGGGAAUUGCUCGAAAAGGGGUGGCUGAGGAAACCCUUGCAAAUAUCCCAAGUGAUCCUUGUGACUGGGGGCCGAAUCCUGUAGAUGGGAAUGAUGAUGAUAAAUUAUACAGUCAAUUUCAACCGAAAAUGGGUGUUGCGGUUGAAAAUCAAGGAAAAAUGGGAGAUUUGUUCAGAUCAAAGGAGCAAAAGGAUCUGUACUCGAAAUUGCUGAAGCGUGGGGUAAUAAACCCUAGGAGUGUGGAUUUUGAUUUUCUGGAUGUUGUGAAUGUGAACUUGAGGGAAAAGUUCAGUUAUCUUCAACUUGAAAAGUUCUGCUCUGACUCUACAGAGGCAUAUGCUGAAUUAACUGCAUAUUUCUAUUCAAAUCUAAGCUUUUUAGAUGCGAACAGAUUCUCUUUCAGCGUUAAAGACCAAGACUAUGUUGUGGAUAUGAAUAUGCUGGCAGAUGUGUUAGAAGUCGAAAGAGGAAGAUAUCAGCCAAUCAAAGUUUCGAUUGCUCGGGCCACACUUGAACUGGUGAAGGACAGGAGAACAGAUGAAAAGAUCACCUACUUAAGGAUGGGUGCAUUCAACAUCUUGCUUCACAAGAUUGUGAUUAAUUGCCUCCGACCGAAAUCAACUUCCAAGACUGAUGUUUCAAGUUCAGAGGCCAAGCUGAUGUAUGCCAUUCUCUUUGGAAAAAGGUUUUCUCUCCCUCACACUGUGAUGUUUCACAUGUAUAGAGCAAUGAUGAAGGACAGAGGUCAACUCCCUUACCCAAGCCUUGUUACGAAGUUAUUCAGACAUCUGAAUAUUCAGCCUCCACAAAUCUUUUGUGUUCAACCAUGCGAUCAUAUGGUGGUAGGUCUGAAAAUGGUGACCAAAAUGCGUCUGAAGGAACUGAGCAAGGAGUUGGAGAAAUUCAAGGAGAAGACUCCUGCAAAAUCUCAUCAAAUAUCUUCUGCAGCUAAAAGAAAAGGGAAGGAGCCCAUGGUUGCUCCAUCCAAGAGAAGAAGAGCUCUCCUCGUUGAGGAUGAAGAUGAUGAGGAAGACAUCACCAUCUCUGCAUUGGCUUUGAAGAAUUUAAGUCGUCCUGUUCCACAGAAAGAAUCGGAGCAAAUGACGAAAGAAGCAAAGGAGAAGGAAGAAGAAGAAAUAGAAGCUGAAAAAGAAACAGAGGAGGAAAAACCUGAAGAAGAAAGAAGAGAAGAAGGAGAACCUAAAGAACACUCUUCUCCACCUGUAGGCAUAUGGAAACAGGGGGAGAUCAGGAGAAAGGUGUGAAGUCUUCAUGUCCUGAUGCAAGUGAAGGAGUCAGUCGCUCACCAGCAGACCCAGAGGAUGUUUAUGCAUCUCAAUUUCCAGAAGAAGGUCAUGAAGUUUCAUUGCCAAACCUGCAAGAUUAUGCUGAUCUACCAUCGUCUGCAUUUACUCCAUCAGAUCGAGCAGAAGCAAGUACUCAAACUGAUAAUGGAGCAGAUUUUCGCAGAAUCAUGGAUAUUCUUUUGGAAAUGCGAGGUCAGAUUUAUGCCUUGGGAUGCGAAGUUCAAAGCUUGAAGAAUGAAGGUCAAGCUUCUUCCUGUUCAUUGAAUGAUAAAAUGCAAGCCCUCUCUGUUCAGAAUCAGGCCAAUGCCAAGAGCGAGGAGAUUGCACAUCUAAAGGAAGACUUUAAAAGGCUGGAAGGCAUCAUUCAGUCUAUGGAAGAUUUCCAGCUUGUCCGCAUUCCCAAGCAAUCUUGAUUACAUCUCAUCCUUUUUAAUGAUGACAAAAAGGGGGAGAGAUGCAAGAUUUGAUCAAAAACUUUUCAUUCAUUAAACUUUUAAUUGUUUGUUGGAUUGUUUUGUGGUUUGAAUCUGUUUGACUUUGGUUUGUGUCUGGAUGAGAACUGAACUAGACUUGGACUUGACUGCUUCUAUUAACCAAUAUUGAUAUCUUAUGAAUGGCUUCAUCAUAUACUGACUAACCUAUUUUUUGUGGUUGCAGAUUCUAGUGUUAUUCUGUUAGCCAUUUAUCUCUAUAAGAUAUGCAUAUGUGUUUGAGAAAUGUUUUACAAGUCAAAGAUAUCCAAAUCUGCAGGAAAGUUUUGUCACCAUCAAAAAGAGGGAGAUUGUUGGAGAAAUCUUCUUGAAGUGUUUUGAAGUUGACAAAACGUUUCUAUUAGUCUAGUCUGAAGGCUUGCAGACUUUGCUAUUUAAAGUCUGAAGACCUCCGAACAGCCAGACUCAAGACUCAAAGUCUAUCCUCAUUGACAGUCUCUAAUCCGUUGAAGAAAGGUUAUCCAGAACUGGAUGUUUCGUUAAGGAUUUAACCUUAUCAACUGGAGAAGAUCUCGUAGCUGGAGAAGACAUAAACGGAGUCCUUUGAUUGAUCGAAGAUUGAUUCGAUAAUUGAAGAUCCGGUGAUUGCCUAAAUAUUAUUGGAAGGUUCUGCUUAUGAAAACCGAGAUCCUGAUUGUAUGGGCGAACAGGAUUGAUGGGCUAUCAACACGUUCCUUUAAUAGCUUGAACAAUCUUCCUAAUUGAUUCCGUCCAACGGGUAGAUUGGAGAAAUUCCUUUGGUAAGUGCCAAUGGGUAUGAUGGCAUAAAGGAGUAUAUAAGGAAGACUGUCUUAGUUGUUCAAGGUGUGCGCGAUAGAAGAAUUCCAAAGUCUGAAGCUCCUUUUUGUUUAGACAAAUCCUUUGAGCGAAUACUUGUAUACAAAAGAGAGUCUAUAUUUGUGAGAAAUCUUGAGGAGGUGUGGUAGAACAUCUACACUGUGGAAUCAAGGCAAAGCUGUGCUGUAACUUCUCUUUUGUUCAUAGUGGAAUCCAGCCAAUAGGCUGUCAGUGAAGAAGAGUGGACGUAGGCUUGAUAUAAGCCGAACCACUAUAAACCACGUGUUCAAUUUUCUCUUCUCUCAGUCUUACUUUGAUUAACGUUUCCUUCUACUGUCUAGUAUUGUGCAAUUGUUGAAGAAAAAUCUUUUAUAUACCUAUUCACCCCCUCUAGGUACUCAUACUAGCAAUAUCAGUUGAGUCCAGUGAAAUGACUCAAGAAGAGAUAACCAAGAGACAAGCUCUUGAUGCAAAAGCAAUUUAUUCCUUAUAUUGUGCAUUAUCUCCUACUAAAUAUAACAAAAUAUCUUCUUGUGAAACAGCUAAAGAAGUCUGGGAUAGAUUGCACAUCACCUAUGAAGGAACCGAUCGAGUGAAAGAAACCAGAAUCAAUAUUCUGCUCGGUCAUUAUGAAGCAUUCAAGAUGAAACCAGGAGAAUCUAUCACUGACAUGUUUAGUUGUUUUACAGAAAUCGUGAAUGGUCUUGAAUAUCAAGGUCAACCAAUCUCUGAACCCAUGAAGGUUAACAAGUUACUACACGGACUUUCCAAGGAUUGGAAUGACGUAAAGAUUUCAAUAAGGGAGACAUAAAGGAUCAUGCCUCUAUUUGUUGACGAAUUGGUUGGCACCCUUUAGUCUUAUGAAGUGGAGCAAAUCAACGAAAAUGAAGAUCCCAAAGGUAAGAAAUCCAUUACAUUAAAAUCUAAUGAUAAUUCUGAUGUUACAGAUUUUGAAGACAAUAUGGAUGAUGAAGAGCUUGCUCUCAUGAUAAGAAGGUUCAGAAAACUUAACAGAAAGGGAAGAAGAUUCAAUCCGAAGAAACAAAGUUUUCAAAAGCUACAAAAUAAAUCAGCUAAGGAUGAUGAAUCCAACAAGGAUGUAAUAUGCUUUGAAUGCAAGAAAAAGGGACACAUCAGACCCAACUGUCCCUUGCCGAAGAGAAAGAAAGGAAAAACUGAGAAAUUUCGAAAAGCACUUAAAGUAGAAACUUGGAGUGAUACCGAGUCUGAAGAAAGUGAUGACAAUUAUGCCAAUAUUUGUCUAAUGGCACACUCAGAAUCAGAUUCAGACUUUGAGACAGACUCAAACUCAGACAGUGAAAUAGAGGUAAGUAAUUUAAAAAUUCCUACUAAAGUCUCCAAAUAUAUUGAUGAAUUGUGUCUUAGUCUCAAAACCUCUCUCAAGAGGAUUUCCGAACUUAAAAGGGAAAAUUCUGCACUAAAGCAACAGGAGAUUAUUUGGAAAGAAAAGGUCGAAAGUGUAGAUAAAAAUAUCAUUACUUUGAAAGAAAACGCAGGCAAUCUUUCAAAAGAAAAUGCAUUUUUGAAAAAUGAUAUCUCCAGUAUUUCUAAAAGGUUUUCUAUAGGAUCUGAGAAAUUAGAAAAGAUGCUUUCAGCGCAAAGACCUUACUUCAACAAAUCAGGUUUGUGAAUGACUGCUGAAACCAUUCCUCUAAUUGAUUUUCCUAAGGUAAAUGAAAGAAUUAAACAAAGACCUACAAAAGAUUCUUACAAAAAUCAUUUCCAAAUUUUUUUUGUAAAACCUAUAGGCCGCAGUGCUCUUAAAUGUGGCAGAAGUACACCACAAGUGCCAUAACUUGGCACGUCGGGACACUUAAGUGUCAUAACUUCAAAACGGUACACUUAAGUGCCACUUUUUUUUUCGAGUGGGACACUUAAGUGCCACCUCCGGCGACCCUUGCCGGAAAUCCUACGUGGCAAUAUUUUAUUAUUAUUUUUUGCCUACGUGGCUCGCCGGAGCUCCAAAUCAGCAUAAAAAUUAAAAAAAAAUUAAAAAAAAUUAAAAGUUUUAAUUUUAAAAAAUUUUAAAACUUUUUUUUUAAAAAAGAAAAUUUUAAAAAUUUUAAUUUAAAAAAAUUUUAAAAAUUUAAAAAAAAAGAAAAUUUUAAAAAUUUUUUUAAAAAAAGAAAAUUUAAAAAAUUUUAAUUUUAAAAAAUUAAAAAAUUUUAAAAAAUAAGAAAAUUUUAAAAAUUUUAAAAAUUUAAAAAAAAAAUUAAAAAAAAUUAAAAAAAUUUAAGAAAAUAAUAAAAUUUAAAAAUUUUUAAUUUUAAAAAAUUUAAAAAAUUUAAAAAAUAAUAAUAAGAAAAUUUAAAAAAAUUUAAAAAUUAAAAAAAGGGGGGGGGGGAGGCGGCGGCGGCGGAGGUGGCGGCGGUGAGGGAGCCGGCGGUGGCAGCAAGGGAGCCGCCCCAUUCGGCCUCCCACUCCCCACUUUUUUAUAAUUUUUUAUAAUUUUAAUUUUUUUUAAAAAUUUUCUUAAUUUUUAAAAAAUUUUAAAAUUUUCUUAAUUUUUAAAAAAUUUUAAAAUUUUCUUAAAUUAAAAAAAAUUAAAAUUUUCUUAAUUUAAAAAAAAUUAAAUUUUCUUAAUUUUUUUAAAUUUUUUUAAAAUUUUCUUAAUUUUUUAAAAUUUUUAAAUUUUUUAAAAUUUUUUAAAAUUUUUAAAAUUUUCUUAAUUUUUUUUAAUUUUUUUAAUUUUUUUAAUUUUUCUUAUUUUAUAAAAUUUUAAAAAUUUUAACAUUUUUAAAAUUUUUCUUAAUUUUUUAAAUUUUUUAAAUUUUCUUAAUUUUUAAAAUUUUUCUUAAUUUUUAAAAUUUUUCUUAAUUUUUAAAAUUUUUCUUAAUUUUUAAAAUUUUUUAAAAUUUUUCUUAUUUUUUUUAAAUUUUUUGAAUAUUUUAAAUCUAAUUUAAUUAAUUUAUAUACUAUUAUUUACACGUAGACGCGAAACGGCGUCGUUUUUGCAUUUUCUCCGCCACGUCAGCGUGCAAAACGACGCCGUUUGGGACCGAGCUCGCCGGAAAGUCGCCACGUCAGCCAUUUGGCCGGAUUUUCGCCGGAGUGGCACUUAAGUGUCCCAUUUUACUCCGAUGAUGGCACUUAAGUGUACCAUUUUAAAGUUAUGGCACUUAAGUGUCCCGGCGUGCCAAGUUAUGGCACUCCAGGUGUCCCGCACUCUCUUAAAUGUUCUAAGUGUAACAGCUUAGAACACUUUGAGAAAGAAUGUCCUUUGGUUUGGAAACCUGUGAGGAAGGUUUGGGCAAAGACUGUAUAGCACACUAACUCCACUAGACCCAAGAAAAUAUGGGUAUCAAAGAAAGCUUGAGUUUCUUUUUUAAAUGCAGGUCACUAUCAAGAAAAAAAUGUUAAAUGGUACUUGAAUAGUGAAUGCUCGAGACAUAUGACAGGAGACUCAAACUACUUCAUAAAGCUUGUGCAAGUUAAUAGUGAAAAAGUUUCUUUUGGAGGAAAUAGCAAAUAAAGAAUUGUGGGAUACGGAACUGUAAAGAUUGGAAAUCUCACGAUCAGUAACAUUUCCUUAGUAGAAGGACUCAACUACAACUUGCUGAGUAUUAGCCAACUGUGCGACACCGGUUUCAAAAUCAACUUUCAAGAAGGAAUAUGCUCAGGAACCAGUAAAGACUCCUCUCAGACUUUCACAGGGCGAAGACAUGGGAAUAUCUAUCUCUUGGAUAUUAAACCAGAAAAAUCCCAAUGUCUAAUCUCAAUUCAAGAGGAAGCAAAUCUAUGGCACAGAAAACUUGGGCACAUCAACAUGAAGCAAAUAGCCAAAAUCUCAGCAAAGAAGCUUGUUUGUGGACUACCCAAUCUGACAUACUAAAAGUCUGACCUAUGUACUACAACUCUUGCAUAUGGAUCUCUUUGGACCGACCAGAACUCAAAGCAUUGGAGGUAAGAAAUAUUGCCUAGUAAUUGUGGAUGAUUAUUCACGAUUCACUUUGGUAUAUUUCUUGGCAAGUAAGUCUGAAACCUUUUCUUAUUUUAUCAAAUUUGCUAAGAAAGUUCAAAAUGAGAAAGGGUAUGUUAUUUCAAGUAUACAAACAGACCAUGGAGGUGAAUUUGAAAAUCAAGACUUUGCUAAAUUCUGUGAUGAAUCUGGUUUUCAGCAUGUAUUCUCCUCUCCUUAUACUCUAGAGCAGAAUGAAGUUGUGGAAAGGAAGAAUAGAUCGUUGCAAGAAAUGGCUAGGACUCUUUUAAUUGAAAGUAACAUUUCUUCUCAUUUUUGGGCUGAAGCAGUUUCUACAGCAUGCUAUAUUAUUAAUAGAGUCUUCUUAAGGCCUAUUCUAGAGAAAACUCCCUAUGAGUUGUUUAAAGAAAAGAAGCCAAUUGUUUCCUAUUUUCAUGUGUUUGGAUGCAAAUGUUUUAUAUUGAAAAAUGCAAAUGAUCGAAUUGGUAAGUUUGAAGAAAAAUCAGACGAAGGCAUAUUCCUUGGAUAUUCAACCACAAGCAAAGCCUACAGUGUAUACAACAAAAAGACUCAAUCUGUGGAGGAAUCGAUGAAUGUUAAAUUUCAAGACUUUAUGCUAAAUCAAUCGAUUCAGACUCAACCUGAAGAACUUGAACCUGCUCCAGACUCUACAAAGUCUAAAUCUAAAGAAGCAACUCAGACUUCAGAAUACCAGCAACAAAUGAUCGUUGAAGAAUCAAAUGAAGAAAAUGAUCAACAGUCUGACAAAUCAACCAGCAACUGGAAACACAAAUCUAGUCAUCCUAAAGAACUCAUUAUUGAUGACAUUAAUGAGGGAAUUCGUAUAAGAUUCAAAAUGCGUGAAGAGUCUAGUGCUGUGGCUCUUAUUUCUGAAAUAGAACCUAAGAGCAUAGAAGAAGCUUUAACUGAUGAAAGCUGGAUUGAAGCUAUGCAAAAAGAACUCAGGCAAUUCAGUAUCAAUGAUGUAUGGGAAUUAACUCCUAAAUCGAAAGGUAAAUCUAUCAUUGGAGCUAAAUGGGUUUUCAGAAACAAGAUGAACGAGAAAGGAAAAGUCGUAAGGAACAAAGCAAGACUCAUGGCCAAAUGAUAUACGCAAGAAGAAUGGAUAGAUUAUAAUGAGACUUACGCACCAAUAGCAAGGUUAGAAGCAAUUAGAUUAUUACUUGCUUUUACUUGUUAUAUGAAUUUUAGGUUAUUCCAAAUGGAUGUCAAAAGUGCUUUCUUAAAUGGAUUCAUCCAAAAGGAAGUCUAUGUGGAACAACCUUCCGGUUUUGAAGACCCAAGGAAACUAGACUCUAUAUUCAGACUAAAAAUGGCGCUAUGUGGUCUAAAGCAAGCACCUCAAGCUUGGUAACAGACUGAGUAAAUUUUUUAUCCAAAAUGACUUUGUUAAAGGUAAAGUAGAUACUACAUUGUUUAUCAAAAGAGAAAGCAAAAACUUCCUGCUUGUUCAAAUUUAUGUUGAUGCUAUUAUUUUUGGAUCUCCUAAUGAAAAUCUGUGCAAGAAAUUCUCUAAGACUAUGCAGGAUGAGUUUGAAAUGAGUAUGAUGGGUGAACUAUCAUUCUUUCUCGGACUUCAAGUAAAACAAUUGAAUGAGGGAAUUUUCAUUCACCAAGAAAAAUAUGCUAAAGAACUUGUGAAAAAGUUUGGCUUGGAGAAUUGCAAAAAGAUUGACAUGCCAAUGUCAAGUUCCUCGAAGCUGGACAAAGAUAAAGGAGGAAAGAAAGUUGACCAGAAGCUAUAUAAGAGUAUCAUUGGUUCACUUCUUUAUCUUACUGCUUCUAGACCUAACAUUCUAUUUAGUGUUUGUAUAUGUGCCAGAUUUCAAUCAGAUCCCAAAGAAUCUCAUUUAAGUGCUGCAAAACGCAUCAUUAAAUACGUUGCAUCUACUUCAAAAUUAGAUCUAUGGUAUCCUAAAGAAGGAGACUUUACUCUUCUUGGAUAUUCAGAUGCAGACUUAGCAGGAUGCAUAAUUGAUAGGAAGAGCAUCUCGAGCACUUGUCAAUUGCUUGGGAACAAGACGGUAUCUUGAUUUUUUAGGAAGCAAAGUACCGUAGCUCUAUCUACAACAGAAGCAGAAUAUGUGGCUCUUGGAAGUUGUUGUUCACAAAUUCUGUGGAUAAAGCAACAGUUAAGAGUCUUUAGAAUUGAAGAUUCGUGCAAUGAGAUCACAUGUGACAACACCAGCACAAUCAAUCUCACCAAGAAUCCAAUUCUUCAUUCAAGAGCAAAGCAUAUAGAGAUUCGACAUCAUUCAUUAGAGAUCAUGUUCAAAAUUGAGAAGUCUUGAUUCAGUUUAUUGACUCAAAUAAUCAACUAGCGGAUAUCUUCACAAAGCCCUUGGAGAAAAGUCAAUUUGAGCUUAUUUGUUCCAGACUCAAUAUCUUAAAGUCUGAAGAAGUUUAGACUCAGGGAUAAAAGUCUAAUGACACUCAGACUCAGAAGAUGAAGAUCAACGACUAUAAGUUAUUUUUGGUUUUAAAUUUAUCUCUCGGAUAAAAUCUCGAAAAUGUACGAUUAUUUAUCAAUUUGUAAUUGAUUGAUCUCGAAAAGGUACGAUCAUCUUCCCCAGUUUUCGUGAUUAUUGCAAUCAUUCCUUUUCGAAAAAGGAGUUAUUUUUUAAAAAUAGUUAUCUAUUAUUUCAAAAAGGCAGUUAUUUUUCAAAAGGCAUUUUUUUCCUUUUUAUGUCGUUCUGUAUGCCUCUUUUCGACUGCUUUAUAUACCGUUCGUCUUCCUCACAAACCCUAAAAGUACAGACCUAUGUUUUCUUACUUUUAUUCUCUAGUUUAAUCUUCACAGUUCUCACCUUUUUUCGUGAAUCGAGCUUGGAAUCUCUCAAAAACUAUGAGAAUGGCAUCCCAAAGAAAGUCUUCAAGGAUCACAAACAAGGACCACAACAAAUGCGUGAAGGUCCUACACAUUUUGACCUCACCGAGGAAGAAGAAUCUCCAAGAUAGCAGCAGAGCCCACAACAUUCUCAACAGCGUCAAUCUCCUCAAGCUAGACCUCAAGGUAGUGACCGUAGAGUGGAGGAAGAAAUCAUUGAAGGCGCAUAACUCAUAAGAUCUCAAAAGCCCGCUUUUAUCUUUAAGCUUUACUCUGCUUUGAAGAGGGGAGGGACUCCCUUGAAAUAUAUCAAUGAAUUUUUUAAAGAUAAAGGAUAUUGAAAUGAAACCCACUUUUUGCGAACAAUGGAAUGAUUGGAGAUUGCUCCUGCAGGGUCGGCAGAUCGAGCAUUUGCGAAUAUUCCUAGUGAUCCACGUGUUGGAGGUCUUAGUUAGCUUGAUGGGAAUGAUGAUGACAAAAUGUACACUCAUUUCAAGCCUAGAAUGGGUGUCGGGGCGAAUAUUUGAAGCAAAAGGACGGAUUUGUUUUGCUCGGAUGAACACAUGCGACUUUACUCUAAGUUGCUAAAAAGAGAGGUGAUCAAUUUGAGAAGUGUAGACUUUGAUUUUCUUGAUUCUGUGAAUGUGAAGCUGUGAGAGAAAUUCAUUAAACUUCAGCUUGAGCAAUUUUGUUCUGAGACGACUGAGGCAUAUCCAGAACUUACUACUUACUUCUAUUCUAAUGUAAGUUUCUUGGAUGCGAAUAGAUUUUCGUUUAGUGUUCGAGACCAGGACUAUAUUGUUGACAUGGACAUAUUGGCGGAUGUGAUUGGAGUAGAGCGAGGGGCUUUCCAAACGAUUAGUGUGUCUAAUGGUCGUGCGACAGUAGAGCUUGUUCGGGAUUGAAUGGCUGAAGGAAGAAUUUCGUACUUGAGGAUGAAUGCCUCCAACAUUUUGCUUCACAAGAUUGUGAUCAAUUGCCUCAGACCCAAGUCAACCUCGAAGACAGACGUCUCUAACUCAGAAGCAAAGUUGAUGUAUGCCAUCAACGCUGGCAAGAAAUUCUCUAUGCCUCACACAAUCAUGUUUCACAUGUACAUAACAAUGGCGAAAGACAAAGGACAACUUCCUUACUCUGGGCUUGUUACAAAGCUUUUAAGACGUUUCAAUAUUCAGCCUCCCGGGAUUUUAUGUGUUUGAUCAUGUGAUCAAAUGGUAGUGGGAUUGAAAAUGAUUUCCAAAAUGCAUUUAAAAGAGCUGGACAAGGCUUUGGAGCGAUUGAAAGAGAAAACCCCUAUCAAGUCACAACAAGGUUCUUCAGUUACUAAACGGAAAUGGAAGGAGCCCAUGACAGCUCCAUCCAAGAAAAGAAGAGCACUUGUUCUGGAUGAUGAAGAUGAUGAGGAUGAUAUUACCAUUUCUGCUCUUGCAUUGAGAAAUCUUCAAAGUGCUGUUCUAGAGACUGAGGAGAGAGAGGAUCGAGACAUGGAGGAAACAGAGCAUGAAGAAGCAGAGGAAAUGAGUGGAGAGAGAGAAUCAAUGCGAAAAGAAGCAGAGGAAGAAGCGAUUGCAAAAGAAGAAGAAGAAGGUAGAGGACAGGCAGAAACUGAGCAUGAAGCAUACUUCUCACCUCCUGAGGGCAUUGAAACAGGGUGAGUUGCUGAGAAAAGAGGUACAUCUUCAAUUGCUGUCACUAAUGAAGGUGUUAGUCUCUCACCUGCAGAUCCAGAAGACAUCUAUACGUCUCAAUUCCCAGAGGAAGGUCAUGAGAUUUCAUCGCCAAAUCUGAGUGAUCAUGCUGGCUUGCCAUCAUUUGCAAAUACUCCCAUUGAUCAUGCAGAAGCCAGUACUCAGACUAAAAAUACAGCAGACUUUCGCAGAAUUCUUGAUGUUCUUAUGGAGAUGCGAGGACAGAUUUAUGCCUUGGGAUGCGAAGUUCAGAACUUGAAGAAUGCAAGUCAAGCCUCUUAAGUUUCCUUGCAUGAUCAAGUUCAUGCCAUUGCUCUUCAAGUUCAAGCAAAUGCCAAAGGUGAAGAUGUGGCUCAAUUGAAGGAGGAUUUGAAAAAGCUGGAAGGGAUUGUCUAGUCAAUGGAAGAUUUCCAGCUUGUUCGCGUUCCUAGGCAACCUUAAUUCCAUGAUCUUUUUAUCUCUACCUUUUUUUUAUGCUGACAAAAAGGGGGAGAGAUGGUGCAGAUUUGAAACUUGACUCGAAACUUGACUUUCGUUUGACUUUAUUUUUUGAAUGACUUUUGUUUGGUUGUUUGGUUGUGACUGGAUUUGGUUUGGUUUGUUUGAUCGUUUGGUUAUUUUAAGCAUUAUUGGUAUUUCAUGGCAAAGAUAGUUGUUUAUUUACAAGACUAACUUUUUUUCAUGUGGAUGCAAAUCCAAUGCUGUCUUUACUAAGUCAAUUAUCUUUGUGAGAUAUCCAUGUUUGCUUGAGUUCUAUUUUGCUGGUCAAAAAUAUCCAAAUCUGCAGGAAAGUUUUGUCACCAUAAAAAAUGGGGAGAUUGUUGGAGAAAACUUCCUUGUGUGUUUUGAAGAUAACAAAACGGUUCCAUCAGUCUAGCCUAAAGACUUGCAGACUCUUUAGUCAAAGUCUGAAGAUUGCUGAACCGCCAGACUCAAGAUUCAAAGUCUAUCCUCAUUGACAGUUUCUAGACCGUCGAAGAAGACUUAUCCAGAACUGAGUAUCUUGUUAAGAAUUUGAUUCUAUCGACUGAAGAAGAUCUCUCAGCUGGAGAUAGCAUCUUGGAAUCUAUUAUUCGUUUUGAUUUCAACUCGGGUAAUUUAGAUCCGUUGAAUGGCGAAGCAUACUUGGAAGGUUCUACUUAUGGAAACCUAGAUCCUGAUUGUAUGGGUAAGCAGGAUUGGUGGGCUAUUGUCAUAUUCCUUAAAUAACUCGAAAUCUUUCAAUUGAUUAUGUCCAACGGAUAGAUUGGAAGAGCUCCUUUUGUAAGUGCCAACGGGUAUGAAGGCAUGGAGGAGUAUAUAAGGAAGACGUUCCAGUUAUUCAAGUGUGCAUGAUAGAAGAAUUCCAAAGUCUAAAGCUCUUUGUUCUUUGUCAAUUCAAUUGUUGAGCAAAAACUUAUACUAAAAGAACGUUUAUACUUCUGUGAGACUUUGAGGAAGUGUAGCAGAGUCUCUAUACUGUGGAAUCAAGGAAGAGUAAUACUGUAACAACUCUUUUGAUUUUUAGUGAAAUCCGGCCGGUGGGUUGUCAGUGCGGAAGAGUGGACGUAGGCUUGAAUCAAGCCGAACCACUAUAAACUUUGUGUUCUUAUUCUCUUUCCUAAGCUCUUUACUUUGAUCGUAACAAUAUUUGUUUGUUAGAGUCUAAUUUCCUUUUCAUAAUCUAUUGCUAAACAUAAUUGGUUUAAAAGCGAAACUAUUUUCUCUACAUUGCGAAAAUUUGUUUUCGCACCUAUUCACCCCCUCUAGGUGCUUAUACUAACUUUCACACAUUGAACUCUGGUGGUGGAGUUGGUGCAUAGAAAAUCAUAAACUGAUAUUUAUCACACUCACCAAGAGUAUCAACGGAGGGAUCUUCAUUCAAGUGCCUUUGGUACACAGGGUCCUUGGAUCUUUUAUGCUUCCAUCAAGGUGGAGAUUUUGCAAAUGGAUCUACCUCAUCCGGAGAAUUUAUACAAUAAGAACAUUGACAAAAAAGAUCCCAAAAACAGUGACCAUACUAGUUUUUGUAGUAAUGGAUAGGGUGUCCAUCACUAUUGAAAUGUCGAACAAGCUUUUUUGGAUCUGGCUCGAAAAUUGACUCAGGAACACAUGGUUCAAUCAUGAAGAGGGUCUGGAAGAUAGAAUGACUUUCUUCCUUUUCCUUGCCAAAUUUGAUGGAAACAGUUCCAUCUUUCUUUCUGACAAUUUCAAAAUCUGAAGACUGGAAAGGCUUGUUGCUCUUAUGCAACUUUUCAUAAUUGGUGACCCAGGUUUCUGGAAGGAGCGUGGCUAGUUUUUCCUUCGGGAUCUGUCUUGGGACAUGAAUGCAAGAUGCUUGGUCAUUCUGCAUAGAGAUGAACAAAGCAUCUGAGAUGAACAAAGCAUCUUCAUUUCUAUUGUGGAAAUUCAGGUCAAGAGCAUGGUUCUGUACUCGGUAGACCAUCUGGUAGUGCAAUGUUGCUGCUACAAAAUCAGCAGUUUGAGGAGCUCCAAUGAGCUGAACUUGGACUUUUAGAAAGGAAAGCAGUUGGGGAUUUGAGAGAGCAAUAUUGAAGUUUGGAUAUAGAGUCACAAAGACUGUUCCAGCAUUUAAAGUGGUUUGAACAGUGCCAAUGCAAGCAUGCUGGUAUUCUAGGAAUCUGGUAUCCAAUAAAGCAAUUCUUGCCACAACUGGUAAGCCUUUACGACCAUGAAAAGUAAGAGCAAAACGAACAGCUCCAUAAUGGACAUAAGAAUAUCCCUGCUGGAUCUACUGUCUGGGAAAUUCUGGAGGGAUUUGAAGAGUAACAAAGUACUCCAUUUCAGUGGUAGGAAUAAGAUGUUGAUCGAACUUUGAGGACUGAACAUAUUCUUUCACUUCCUUCAAAGUCUAGCGAAUGAGUUGGCAAAUGGAGCGGAUAGGAGAAAAUGAUGAAGUGGGUUUGGCAAAAGCAGAAUAAGGGUUCAUCAGGGGAAGCUGGGUUUCAAAGAUCUUAGUUUCAUUGCUAAGAGAAACUUCAUAAAGAUAGUCUAUCUUAGAAGCAUUUGAAAUACGAAAAUCUGAAGGGGUUGAAGAGGAUGGAGUAGCAACGAGAGAAACAGGUGCUUCAAGUAUUUUUGGUUGAUCUGUCAUGAUGGGAAAAGAUCUUCUCAGCACUGGAUUCACCUACUAAGCGCAUGGAACAUAUAUCAUUACAAAUGAUACCAUGACUCUGAUACCAUUGAAUGGACCUAGACAACGAACCAGAAAGAACGAAGUCAGUUUCCUGCAGGUAUGCCUUCCCACAGUGGGCAAACUCCUCGUUCAAGCUUUUAAGGGACAGCAAUACCAAAAAAAAAAAAAAAUCAUCUUAGAAUAAAUUAAUUCCAUUCUCUAGGAUAGAUUGCAUACUUAUUAAGAAAACACAAAAAAAUAUUAUGUGCACGUGAUCUAGAAUUAGGUUCAUAAAAUGCAUGUCAUUUAGUGAUUGUUGCUAGGUCCAUUUAGUUAAAAAUUGCAUGUCAUUAGAUGUUAAAAAUUGCAUGUCAUCUGGUAUAGAUUUAGAUUUCAUUAAACAAGAGAAAAUUUAAAAAAAAAUAUUGAGUGAUUGUGUGUUAAUUAGAAAUCAGAUCUAGGGUUAUAGAUGUGAAUUCUGAUCUAACAUUGCAGAUACUUUCAUUACCAUGAAGUAAAUAUUGCAAUUUAUUCACUGCUUUAUAUUGGUGUUAAAUUUGUGGUUUGCGCACUCGCAUGAUCACCUCACAUGUUAGGGAAGUAAAUUAAAAUUAAUUCAAGUUGCCUGCAAAACAUUUUUUUUCGAAAUAAAAAGAGAAAGAUACCGAAAGGGCAUUAGAAAAGUCUAGUGUAAUCAAGUCCCCGUACCCAAAAUCUCUAGUUUGUAGGAGUAAAAUAAUUCUCUAAUUAUUUUACUUAGGUGUCUAAUUGACCUACCGUAAACUGAUUAGUGACGACUCCUAACUAAUAAUAUUUUGCAUGUUAAAUAUUUGAACCUAAGUCGCGAAUUGGUAUGGGCUUGAGAAAGCUCGAGUUAAGUUUAAACUUGAUAGUCCAUUAGCUUAAUCGUAGGUGGAACACCGGAAAUUUAGGUCGUGACAGUGUCGAUCUCGGUUGUCUGAUACUUUCACCUUAGGAGAUUGUUAAGAAAAAGCCUAAAUUUGAGCUCGUCAACAUUCCUAGUUCAAUUCACCUUCACUUAAAAGUUUAAAUUAAUUUGUUAUGUAAAAUGUAUUAACUACUUUACAUUAUACCAAUUCUCUGAUGUAGGACUUUUUUUACACAACUCAUAAGUGCAUGUUGACAGUAAGUGGCAAAUCAAACCUCAAGCUAGGAGACGUGAGCUUUUCUCUGACAUCUAUCAUGUGCUUAUUUGUGAGCCGCAACUCGUGAAUAUUGGUUGCUUCAAGCUUUGGAGAAUUUAUUAUACACUUCACAUGAGAUUGCUAUUAUUCCCUAACAAUUGGAUAGGCCAUGAGGGUCAGGAGCUUCCAAGGAUCUUAAAAGUCAUCUACAUACCUCAUGUGAUGUGUUCACAUUGCCAAGUGAUUGAACGGAAUCUCGAAAAUUAACAACUUGCGUUCCAUACACAUAAAUGUUUUUGGAAUGGGGAAGGGACUCAAGUGUUCGCAAAGAUAAAAUGAACUUAAUCAUGCAGGUCAAAUAAUAAUAAAUCAAGUCAUUGGACUCUUUCCUUCUUGCAUGCAUGACAGACCUUCAAAUCACUAUAAUUUUUGCUUGAUGUUGAAGUGAGGAGAUGCUAUCUUGUGCUGGAUAUUAGUGCUGGAAUAUUUAAAUAUUAAAUUAUACAUUCAUUUAAUAACUUAAAUUUUUAGAAUAGUUAGUAAUGUCCUUGAAAAUCUUCAUUCAAUUUUAGAGCACAUUUUGGAUGAAGCAAGAAUUUGACUAGAAAAUCUCGAGGGUUGCAACACAAGCAUUGCAACUACAGUGAGUUAUAUUCUUAGGCCUGAUCAUCAUUAUUUGGGUAGGACAAAAGUUAGAGAUGGCAAAAUGGAUCUUAUAUCCGUAUAUGACCCAUUUAAAUCAUAAAUUGGUCAUAUAUGGGUCACUAAUUUUUUGAAAAACUAGUUAAAUGAGUUUAGCACUUAAAGACUUAAGAUAGGUGGGUCUUAAAUGGGUCUUAAGUGUGUCUUAAAUGAGUUGCAUUUAGAACCCAUUUUCAAUCAAAAAAUCACAAUUUCUCUCUUCUCUCUUUAACUUUACAAAAUAUAUAUAUUUUUUAUAAAAAUUGAAAUUAUAAUUUAUUUUUAUUUUUAUUUUUAUCUCUUUUUUUUUUCCUCUUUUUUUUCUUUUUUCUUCCUCCUUCUGGUCACCGGCACAAUGAUUGUCUGCGACCAGCUAGGCGAGCCUUGAGCUUGUCAAAUCUGGCGAGGCUCGAGCCUCGCUGAUUUGGCGAGACUUGAACUCGCCGGCGUCGGGUGAGGCUCGAGCCUUGCCAGAUUCGGUGAGGGGUGAGCUCGAGCUCGCCGGAUCUGGCGUCGGAGAGGAGGAGGCUUCACCGACCUCCAGUGAGGCUCAAGCUCGCUGGCAUCAGGUGAGCUCAAGCUCACCAGAUCUGGCAAGGCGGAGGCCUCACCGAUGUCUAGCAAGGCUCGAGCCUCAUUGAUCUGGCGAGCCUUGAGCUUGCCGACGUCGGGCGAGCUUGAGCUCACUUGUGGCCGAUCGUCGGCUGUCAUCAUGGCCGGCCAAAGAAAAAGAGGAACAAAAAAGAAAAAAGAAAAAAAGAAAAGAGAAAAAGAGAAUUAAAAAUUACAUUCUUAAAAAAUAAAAAUAAAUAAAAAUUUAAUUUUUUUAAAAAUAAAAUAAUUAAAAUUCAAUUUUUUAAAAAUAAUUAUUUUAAAAAUUAAAAUUCAAUUUUUUAAAAUAAUUAUUUUAAAAAUUAAAAUUCAAUUUUUUUUUAAAAAUAAUUAUUUAAAAAAAAUAAUUAUUUUAAAAAUUAAAAUUCAAUUUUUUUUAAAAUAAUUAUUUAAAAAAUAAUUAUUUUAAAAAUUAUAAUUCAAUUUUUUUAAAUAAUUAUUUUAAAAAUUAUAAAAAUUAUCCAUUAAAUUUGUGUUGUAUAAAACUAUUUUAGCAAUACCAUUUAUAUAUAUAUAUAUAUAUAUAUAUAUAUAUAUAUAAAAGAAAUAAGUUUUUUUAGGUUUAGUUAAAUGGGCCGGGUAUGUGUCAAAUAUAGGUCGGGUUGGGUAUGGGUAAAAAAUUUUGCAUCGUGAGAAUUGGGUCAUAUACGGAUUACAUGGGUCGAUUUGGGUCGGACCAUUUAUGACCCGACCCACCCGUUUAAUGGGUCUAACAAAAGUGAAUUAGUUUGAUUUGAAUGGGGUCGAAAUCGAUGAAAGUCCAAUUUUAAGAUAAAAAGUCAAAUACUUGUUGAAUGUCGUAUUUCAAACUCGAGCCUGCAAUUAUUAGAUAUUCAACAUAUAAAUCAAUAAAUUAAAAUGUAUCUCGGCAUGUCAUAAAUGAUUAAAAGGAUUAAAAGGUUCAACUCACGGCAACGCAUUUAUUAUUCAUGUUUGAAUGGAUUGAUCCAAUUAUGAUUCCAACCAAUUUAAGCUCAAAUUGAGUAUGUUUAUUAACUGCGUGCCGUGCCGUGUCAAAAAUUAUUGGUUCUAUUAUCAUCCAUUAUAGAAAUUUAUCCCAUGAAAUGUCAGUACUUUUGGCACAAAACAAUAGAUUUCUGGCCUUUUAUUUUUUAAAUUCUUCAUCUGCAGGUAGGUAACUACUUCUUAUCGACUAGGUAGACUUAUGCAAUGACAAAUCCGUGAAGGAAACAUCUACCGCUUCUUCGCACAAUGCUUCGAGUGUCCCCAUAAGUCAAAUGAGAUGUCCAAACCUGUGACAAACCCAAUGCCAAGACUUUCUUUGUUUCACAUGUAAUUAAAUCAAAAUUAUACGCCUUUCUAUUUAAUGAGAUGUCCACACCUGCGACAAACUCAGUAUUGAACUUUCUUUGUUUCACACGUAGAAUUUAAUCAAAAGUGCAUGCAUUUCCGAAGACGUAGGACAAAUGACAUAAGAAUUUUCAUCCAUUAUUAAAUAGUCUAAUAAUGCAGGUGUUUAUUUAGUUCACCAAUGGACCGAGAGCACUCGGGACAUGUGCUUGCGGUCGUUGCCUUCUUUGUACAUUGAAGUUUUUCAAAAUCUUAAGGAAAAUUCGAUGCAAUCAGGAGACUCGUGCUCGGUAUAAACCCAUCCCAUAUGUGAGGACAUGUUCUUCAUAUUGGCUAAAGUUAAUGUGAAUUGCGUGGUAAAAAAAGGUUAUCAGCCUAAUCAAGAGAACGGUUUAUUCAUUAAUUAUCACUGGAGAAUGCAUCGUAAAGAACAUAUGAGAAAAGCAUGAAGAAGUAUCGGCCCGUUAAAAAGAUACCACUAAAGAAGGCCCCCACACAAUAUGACGCAUUUCCUCUUUCAUCUGAUUCUGCCCUUCCUCCUUCGAAGCAUGAAAGAUGGGGAGUUUUUUUUUUUUGGUCGAAGAGGCAAAUAUAUAUAAUUAAGGAAGAGUUACACCGUUUGCAAGAAAAUCCGUACAUAUUAUAUCCAAAAGCGGAGGGGGGAUAGAAGAGGGCCAAUUUGGAGGGAGACUUCUUGACUGAUGGGCCUUGGCGGCCCAGUUGGCUGCCUCGUUCGCAUCUCUGCUGCAAUGGACAAUACGCAGGUUUGUGAACCCUUGCAGGAGCGCCGCUGCCUCAGCAAGCAAAGAGCGAAGCUCCCAUGGCGGAGGGCAAGAUUUGUUGACCGCAUCCACCAGCGUCUGGCAGUCCGAUUCCACGGUAAGAUCACAGUUUGUGUGUCCUUUCUGCAUCAGAUCUCGUAGAGUGAGGGUUAAAGCUUGGGUUUCUGAUCCCUGAAAAUGGAACACCGUGGCUGAUACUCAAUCUCUAAACUAUUGUUGUAUUUCUAUGUUUGGUCUCGACUCUCGAAUGGUGGAAGUAUCGAAUGUAAAAGCUUCACCACAAGUUUCCAAUAAGAAUAAAAAGAGUUUGGGACACCUGGAAUGCCAAAUCUUAGCAUGAAAGAACACUUAAGUGUCAAAAUCGGAGUAAAAUAAAUUAGUUAAGUACCAAUGGCGAGAAAAUUCGGCCAAAAUAUUGACGUAGCGAUAUUCUAACGAGCCAAGUGUAAAAUUAUAUCGUUUUUUAUGCUUACGUAGCUAGACAAGUGCUAAAACAACGUUGUUUUGCUGCUGAUGUGGAUAGAUAAUUAAUAUACAAAUUAAUUAAAUUAAAUUUAAAAAAAAAAAAAAGAGGAAGAUGAACAGUAGCCGGCAGCUUAAGGCUCAACCUUCGCCUCCGCCGCCGCCCCUCACCAUCGUCAGGAAGGUAGGGGAUGGUCGAUCGGGGUCACUGAGCCCUGGCCAAGGGCCGGCGACUUUAGCCGACUGGCGGCUAGGGCCUGUGAGCCCUCGCUUAGAUUUGGGGCGACCCCGACAGACCCUCCCCCCACCUUUCUAGUGAUGGUGAGUGACGGCAACGAUGAGGGCUGAGCCCUCAGCUGCCGGUUACUACUCAUCUUCCCCCCCCCCCACUCUCUCUCUCUCUCUCUAUUUUUUUGUUUUAAAUUUAAUUAAAUUAAUUUUUAUAUUAAAAUUCGAAUUGUGCCAAAACGACGUUGUUUUUGCAUUUCUUUACCGAGUUAGCCUUCCGGCAAGACCGAGUUAGCCUUCCGGCAAGCCAUGUAAGAGAUCAAAAUUAAUAAAAAAUUGUCAAGUAGGAUUUCUGAUGGAGUUCGUCGGAUGUGACACUUAAGUAUCCCCCUGUGUCAAGUUUUGGCUCUUAAGGUGUUCUUUUGUCAAAAUAGAAAUCAUUAUGUGUUUAAGAAUGAAUUUGCAAUUAGUUGCGACACGGUGUUAUACAUUAACUUUGAGGGUGUUAAAGAAACAUAGUCCCAUAUCGGAUAAAUAAUGUGAACCAAUUAAUAUGUCUAAUAGGUAUAUAACUUACUAGUUUAAGAUUUUGGGUGAACCUAAGUUUUUAUGGCACAAUAUGCCACGACAACCAAUAGUGAAACGAUGAUAGACUUAAUCUUAGACUGAUAUCUGAGAAACUCAAAGUGGCCAGCGUGAGCAUUACAUCUUAGAUAAGUUUAGACAGUGGCCCGCUGCAUGAGUCACUUAGCUUAUGAUGACUGUCAUGGACAUCUGGGCUUAGACUGCUAUUUAGGCCGCAUAAGCCGAAUAUUAUUGUGUAAGGUAAGAUCUUUUUUAUUACAGGCCAGAGAAUUUAGGUUCGCGUGCCCAUCGAUCAAGUAUAAUUCCUAAUGAAACGUUUUCUCCAUAGCCAGAACAACCUGUAGGUUUGAUACUCUCGUUGGCAUGCCCAUCGUUCGGGCAUACUUGAUGGGUUUUAUGGGUGGGCCGCCCAUGUUGGGCUAACCCAGCCCAUAACCUACAAAUGUAAAUGCCUUUGGCACCUUGUUUUUCAAUAUGAAACGUUCUUUUACUUAAAAAAAAAAAAAAAAGAAGAAAAAAGAGAAAAGAAGUAGAAACACACUAGAUCUCUCUCUUACGAAAGAAAGAAGAACUUUCUCUCUCAAGGUUGCAAUGAAGGCAUUUAAUCUAUGGAAAUAAGGUAUGUUCCAAAAUGUAAUAUACCCAGUUCAAUCAGUAAUUAAAAAAUUUCAUGGGCAUAUUUCUCAUAUAUUGGAAUAUAAAAUUUGUUUCAUACACUUCUAGAUGAAACGCUUUUUGUGUUCUGUACUUAGAGUCAGGUCAUUGAAAAAUGGCAACAUAUAAGGUUUAUUUGCCAGAUUUAGAAUUUUACAGAUUCCUUCUCUUUAUUUUUUGAAUACUACUGAAAUAAAAUGUGAUCCUUUAUAGGUAUUGAAUAAAUAAAUAAAUAAAACAAAGAACAGAUGAGAAACUCUAAACAUUUCAAGGAUUUGAACAAAGAGAAUGCUUAUUCAAUGUCUGAAUUGAACAUGCAGAAACCGUAUUGCAGUCUCACAGCUAUCAGCCAUCCUCCAUAACCCUAGGAGCAAAUUUGAGCCGGCACAAUUUGCUUUGACUAUGGUCCAUCGAACAGGGUGUGAAGUCAUUUGCCUUCUGUAGAUGCCCAUCCUUUUUCAUGAUCUUCUAUUCGGUUUUGAAUAUGAAUUUUGAAUAAUUAUUUGCAAAUAUUCACAGGUUGUUGCAAAAUAAUAGCAGCGGUCUUGGGAAAGGAAGAUAAAUCAUGGGAUUCCAAAUUUGUGGGGAAGAGCUGCCCUCCUCAACUUCGACAGAACCUAGCCUCAGAGUUGAGAGUAGCUAUUACAGAACAUUUAGGGAAGUAUCUUGGGAUUCCAGCUGAUUGGGGGAAAACAAAAAAGCAAAUGUUUGCUUGGCUGUUGACAAGAGUUGAACGGAAAUUGGAAGGGUGGAAAGAGAAAUUAAUUUCAAAAGCUGGGAAGGAGAUCCUUAUAAAAACAGUUAUCCAGGUCAUUCCUCAGUAUGUGAUGUCCAUAUUCAAAAUUCCGACUUCCAUGUGUAGAACUAUAGAGAAAAAAACAGCUUCAUUCUGGUGGAAACAGCAUGCUGAUAAAAGAGGAAUCCAUUGGAAAAAAUGGGAAGAGUUGAAAGUCAGGAAGGACAAUGGUGGUUUGGGUUUUAAAGAUUUGCAAAAUUUUAACUUGGCCAUGUUGGAAAAAUAGGCAUGGAGGAUUAUAAACCAACCUGAUGCUCUCUGGUGCAAAGUAUUGAAAAGCAUUUAUUUUCCUAAAAGUGACUUCUGGGCAGCAAAAAAUGGAAAUCGACCAUCUUGGAGCUGGAAAAGUAUUUUACAAGGAAGAGCAAUCAUUGAACCAGCUACCAUAUGGGAGAUUGGGGAUGGCAAACAGAUUAGAGUCCAAGAAGACCUAUGGCUGCCUAAUGGAAGACUUAUUGGUCCAGCAAACAAAGAUGAACCACGUUUUGUGGCUGAUCUCAUCGACAGUGAAAGUAAGACGUGGAAUGAAAACAAGGUUACAGCUCUGUUUCAGGAAGAAAUUGCAAAUGAGAUACUAGCCCAACCUCUUUGUUUACAUCCUCGACAGGAUAAAAUUGUAUGGACAGCCAACAAGUCUGGCAGCUACACAGUUAAGAGCGGUUACAACCGUAAGCAAAACUUAGACCCGAACCCCAGCAACAAAACCCCAUCCACAUCAUACCAGAUACCCAAAUCACUCUGGCCUACCAUAUGGACACUUCCCACACCUCCAAAAAUUCGAAUCCUAAUAUGGCAGAUAUGCAAUAACUCACUUCCAACAAAAGAAAAUCUUCAUCGCAGGAAACUGUUACUUGACCCAUCGUGCCAGAUAUGCGGCCAAGCCCCCGAAACCAUCGAGCAUCUCUUCAUCCUCUGUUCCUGGACAAAAGCCAUAUGGUCAGAUCCUCAAAACCUAGCCGACACCAACCCAGACCACAUAACCAGAAUAGAUAAAUGGCUCUUCGAGAACCUUACCUCCAGAACUGAUGCCAGAUCAAAAGCCCUCUUCGCAGCUCUUCUAUGGAAUAUUUGGGUGACCCGCAACACUGCAAUAUUCAGGGGAACCAAGCCAAUCCCCUCCCGCACCAAAGAAAACGCUCGGAUUCUAGCAGAUCUACACCUGAAAUGGGGUAAACAGGGGAAGAAACUGUCAAAGAGGAAUGCGGUAGACACGAGUAGCUGUAAAUCUUGGUUACCUCCCGAUCCUCCCUCAUUGAAGAUUAAUAUUGAUGCAGCUUGGAGCAGUUCGGAUCAUGCAGGAUCGGUGGCAGGGAUCUGUCGAACUGCUGCAGGAAGCCUCGCUGCUGGUUUUGCUAAAUCGGUCUUCGCCCCAUCAGCCCUAAUUGCAGAAACCCUAGCACUGCGUCUGGCUCUGAGAUGGAUAAAGGAGAAGCGAACCCUAGCCGCACGAACUGAAGUCUCUCUCGACUCUAUCUCCCUUGAUCUGCCCAUUCACGUAUCAACCGAUUGCUUAUCCGUAGUUGAGGGUGUUCUGGGCCGAGAAGAACCCCCUUGGCAGGCCCAACCGUUCAUUCUGGACUGCAAAUUCCUCCUAGCCCAAAUGGAAGACAUUACUCUUAUCUAUGAGCCCAGGCAGAAUAACAUGGCCGCGGACUGGGUAGCACGUGCGCAUCGAGCUAAUUCACUUCCAUGUAAUUGGGUUAAUUAUCCUCCUAUGCCUCUUCUUUCUAUCUUAUGUCUAGAUGUACCUGCUUAUGGUGCCCAUGUUAUGGGCUAGUAAUGAAUUUCAUCUCCUUUCGACAAAAAAAAAAAAAAAAUCAUAGUGAUUACGAGGACAGGACAGGAUAUAACGUUAAUCCGUUCUGUUUUGUUCAAAUUGCUCGAGUUGCUAACUGUGACGGGCCAUGGAGAGCAAGAGCAGAGGAUUUGUCCCAAGCAUAACAUCAAGGAAGUUGUCAUCCUUAGCUAUCAUUGAUCUUCAGCAAGCAUUUAUUGAGAUCUUAUGUCAGACCGUGGUGCAUUUUCAUUUUCCAAGUAUAUUAUACACUGAUAGAGUGAUAUGAAGAAAUAGCCAAGUCGGUGUUUCGUUAGAUUUUAUAUAGGUUACAGGUCAUCGCCUGAUUCUCAGAAUUUGGUGUUGGAAGCCUGGAAAUGAAAGGUAUCCGAGGUUUAAUCUAGAUGUUAAUUUCACGACCCUAUCCAACCUUUGGACAAAAGCUUUAAGAUGGUUCCUCUACCUUGACAUAUAUCUUUUUACAAGAGAGUUUGCUAUGUGUAGCCUUAAAAAUCCAAAGGCAGAGCUUGGUGUGGUCAGUUAACAUCAUCAGACUAAGUUUAGGAAACAGCACAACAUCCUUCAUCCUUAUGAAUCCAAGGCCCCUAGUGGAUAAGCGGAACAAAUUGAUUACCAUAUGAUUUAGUGGUGCGAAAGGAUUCAUGUCGCAGUUUUCGAAUCCGAUCCUGUGACAGACAAAUUGAGGCCGCAAAUAGGGUGACAAUGCAAAAGUAUGAGAGCGAAGCAACUACUGUACCGUUCUGAUGAGACUGCAAUGCUAGCUUGCUAUAGAAACAGGAAAUUUCCUAUUGGCUAGUUGCAGUUCCGCCUCUCCAUCAUGUGAUAAGACUGGGGUUUUGUUUCUACCCAUUUGUAGGGGAAGUCCUCUAGUAUAUGGACAAAAACUCCCCUUUUUGUCACAUGCAAGAAACGAUGGGCUGAGUUUUGCUGUAUUAGAAGAUCUGGACAUGUUUAUGGCGUAAUUGUAGGUAUCUUUUGGUCAUUGAUAAAAGCUUCGGGUGUCUGUGAGAUGAAAAAUAGUUUAUGAUAUUGAUGUUCUACGAAAAAAAGUCGAAGACUUUUUGUGGGAUUAUCUUCAGUUAUUCAUUUACAUUUGCACUUCAAACAGAAAAACCUCUCAAACGCGAACUUGCCAUCAACAUGUCUAAACCAAUGUCACAAAUAAGCUACGAGCAAAAGGAGCACCACACGAAUGAACCGGGAAAAGUUGCAUGAGAAUUUCCAAAUCUUGUGUGACCUGAAGAAUUUAGGAACCUGAAAAACUUGUUCAAGAGCUUCUCAUCUUCAUUUUGCACUAUAUUGCAUGUCCCCCUCGACAGUUACUACGGUCCUGCGUGAUGUCAUUUCUGUGAAUGUGUUAGAUCUAUUUUUGUGCAUACUAAUUUUUUUAUAAAGAUAAACAUACAAAAAAAAAACUAAAAAUAAGGGUUAAUAUUAUGAAAAAUCUUAAAUUGGUACACUUAUAACAAAUUUACCAAAAACUAAUUUUUUGACCACUAAAAAUCUUAAACUAAUAUAUCUUUGAUAAAUUCACAAAAAACUAAUUUUUUGACUAUCAAAAACUCAAAAUCGGUACACUUGUAACAAUUUACUAUCUUUUAAUGUCCGUUAAACCACACACUGCAGAAACAAAGAUCAGUGUAUUCUAGUCUUAGGCCAUGAAUAAUGAUCCUCCUCCAUGAUAGGAUUCUGAGGACCUAGUUUCAUAAUUUGGCGGCGAAGAUUACUUACCUUUGUUAAAAAUUGGCUCACAUACAGAUCUUGUUGAGCAAUAGAUAAAAGGUCGUCCUCCAGCUUUUCGAACUUUGCGUCAUUCGCCUUUGCGAAGAGAGACUCUUUGCAUCCUUUAUGUGUUGCACGAACUCAUCAUCAACUAUUGCUGUAACCACAAACGUGAUUUCCAGUUCGAGUUUGGCGUCGUUGUUUAGAGGUGUGGUGUCGCCUACUCUGACGACGUUCAAAAUCCCAGCCAAAAAAGUAUGGCUAGAGCGCGAACGCUCCAAUUAUUGUUUAGAAUGGUUGACCUUCUCCAUAUUGCUACCCGUCACGGUGACUUGAUGACAACUCGUGACUUUUCAUUUAAAUCCUUCCACCUUUUCUAUUUUUCCCUAGGGUUGUCUCCUCUCUCUCUCAUCUUCCACAACCCUCUUCUUCAUUCUCAAUGGAAAAGAGGAUUUGAGUUAGAUCUCUCCCUCCCCUCCCUUUCUCUUUUUUAUUGGUUGAUUUGGUUCUCUGCUUUCUUUUUUGUGAUAUUCUCCCGUUUUCUAGAGCUUUUUCUUUUUUGACCUAGUCUGGAUUUAGAAACUCCUGUCUUGUUUCAGCAAGGUUUCUAACCCGAUCUAGUUUAAAUGUGGCUUUUUUUUUAAUGUAUUAUUUCGAGAUUUUGCUUCCCUUAAAUUUCAUUGGUGUACAAGUCCAGUUUCGAAAGAUAUCAAAUAAAUUUCGUGAAGGUUUCACUUUCACAGAUGUCAGAUUUUUACUCGCUUAACCUUGUUACCCUGAAUUUAGAUAAUAUUGGGGACGUGGAACCUAGGCGAGCACCACUAGAAGGCAAAGUCAUAGCAGCAGUUGGAGAUCUUGAUAGGUCAAUCACGAGGUGCUCCUCGAGCGAGCACAAAGAUGAGGCAGUGAAGUCGGGUGAAAAUCCCGAUACUGCAUAACUUUAUAUUGAUGAAACCAAAAUGUGGUCUGUAAUUCUAAUCCCCACACAGGACAUGAGAAAGAAAAAGAGAAGCUCAUUGAGCAUUCAUCAGCACAUCUUAAUGCCCCAGACAUUCAUCACCACCGCCAGCUGCUGUCCAUUCUCCAUCGCCGACCCCGACCCAGCGGCGCAACAUAUAUACGCAUAGAAAACAGAGCAUACUAAGAGAUACAGAGAGUUGAGCAAGAUGAUCUCCGUUCAGGGACUUUUUACUUUCAUUCCUCUCUUCCACCUCCAGUCCAUUCAUAACAAUCAUCCCCCUGGCUGUUCAUUACGCUCAUAGCCGUGCCGGAGCUCCUCUGUUCGCUCGCCCUGUUUUUGAGUCGAUGUGCCCCAAGUACCUUGGACUCGUUUGUUCUACCAUCUCCGACUCCGAUUUUCGACGCUGUGCUUUCCAAGACCUUCUAUUACCAACCUAACAACCGAUCGUGACCAGAACAACUCCUCAUCAAGGUAUUUGUCUACUAUGCUUUGUUUUGAUUUGAAUCGAGCACGUUUCAGUGCACGAUUGUCUCUCGGCCGGCCUCGGAUUCAUUGAUUCGUCUUUGUUAAGGCUUAUCUUAGCUCCUCUGACCUUGUUUUUGACCAAUCACUAGAUGUUUUUGUUUGUCAAUCGCCUCGCUCAUUAAGAUCGCCGCCUGUUCGAUAGUUUGCUCCAAGAGUUCGAAUUGAAAAUUUUUAUCUGGUCUAAGAGCUUAGCGCAAUUUUUUCAUGCACUGAAAGUUUAUUUAGCUCGUGGCUCUGUUUCUUUAGUAUUUUGUUUAGGCAUGAGAUGGGCGGUGAUGCUAAAAUAUCAUCCCCGCAUUUGCCAUAUUUUGGACUUUCCAAUAUUAAUCACGUUGACAAUAAUUAAGGUAUUUCAUAUAUCUUAGAUAUAUGUUUGAAAUAGGCAUGAGAAUCUUAAGAUAAUUUUAGAGCUAUGUAAUAAAUUGAUAUCAACUAUUCGAUUCCUUAAAUGAGUAGGGGCCGGGACUAGUAAAUCAUGAAAUUCCUAUAUGGUGAUUAUAAAAAAACAAUGCUUAUACAUUAAUUCCGUGUUAAUCAAUCUCUCUAAAUUAUUUAAUAGUCUUAAAAAUCACUUUCUCAUCAAUCGGGGAUUAGAAUGGGCACCAAAAGUCUCAUAUUAAUAACUAAAAUAUUAGUUAUCAUCAUAGAACUUAAUAUAUUCAAAUGACUCUAACUAUAAAAUCAUUACAUUAGCAUCACAUCACCGACUUUUUCAUCAUCCAUGACGUCCAAAUCUAGUAUUUGCUAAACAUAGGAUGUGCAAUCAGUCCAAAUUCAAGAAGUUGGAAGAGUCAUCAGCCAGUUAGCGAAUGACAAUCUUCGUGAUUUGGUGGUUUAAUUGUAUGCUAGAAGCCACUUUGCUUAUCCUGCGAGCAAUAUAGUGGGGAAAAUUUCACUUUAAGAAAAGUGAUCACACACCUCAAAUCAUAGGCUUCUACGGGAGACGUAUGUCUAAGGGUGAAGCAGUAGAAAGGAGCGGUGGUGGACCGGCUGGAAAGGGUUGACGGGGUGGAGGGUGUCUACGGGGUCGUUCAGGUGGAGAGUGUGGAUAGGGUGCAGGGGCUGGAGCAGGUGAACGGGGUGGAGAGGGUGGAUAGGGAGCAGAGAAUGGAGCAAGAGAACGGGGAGGAGCGUGUUCACGUCCUUCAUCUUUCAGUAGUCUGGUGUCACUAUGAGUUUUUAAUGUUUUGGUUCCUGCAAAGUAGUACUUCUGGGAAGCUCCUUUGGUCCCGCUCCUUGAAAUUAAUAUAGCAGCUCUAAUGAUGUAGUC
rnacentral:lncRNA from 1 species